rnacentral:lncRNA from 1 species
CAUUCCAAAAUUUCUAACCACCCCAAAAAAAGUUAAACAAGUACCAUGAUAACUAACAAAACAAGACUAUUCAUUCGGUAACAAAAUAUAUAUAAACAAUAAAUUACAUGUCUCUGACCAAAUUUGAUCUAGAUAUACUUUUUGCUUAUAUUUUAUUAUGAUCUAGAGAUAUAUAUUUUUUUACUUAUAUUUUAUUAAGAAGGGAGUAACAUUUUGGUGUAGCUAGCUAGCCAGUGCCUGUGACACCAAGGUCUUGCUUAUUCUCAUCUUUACCAGCACCAAAGACAGGACCACCUUUUCCAGCAGGAUCGUGAACCUUCUCUUGCAACUUAUCCACUUGAAUGCCACCUUGAUCCUCUUUUGAAAGCAAAUUAGUCCUUGUACGAUUCUCUCCUCCUUCUAUUGAUUCAUAUGUUGUUGCUGUUUUUGACUCCUUUGGUUGUGCUCCUUGUGCCCCUGACAUCCUCUCUAAUAAUUCACUUUUUAUUUAUUGAUUUUUCACUUUUUUAUCUGCUCAUUUAAUUUCUACUAACACUAUUUUAUAGUGGCAUUGCAUUAUACCAACAACAACCUACGUGUUAUGUUAACAUGCCAUGAGUCUACACGUGUGCCAUGACUUGUGCCAAAUGUCAUUUUUGUUUUCCUCUUCUGCCACGUUUUGUUUAACGGAUAUUUUUCUUAUGAACUUUAAGUUUUUUGUAGAAGUAUCUAAAUUAUUAUUCUUAACUGUUUAAAAGUAUUAGUUGAAUAUUUUUGAGAUACUUCACACACACACAUAUAUAUAUAUAUAUUUAGGAAAGAUGAAGGAAAUAAAAAAGUGAAAAAAGUGUGAGACACCAAAUUGUAUCAAAGAAAGAGAAGCAUAGUCUUGAUUUUUUUAUGAAUUGUUUCAUAAUUUUUUUAUGAAAUGUGUUAUAUUGUUGACUUAACUCCUCUUUCUUUGAUUUUCAUUUCUAUAAUCUAUUCAAUGUAAGUUGUAACAUUAUGAAAUAAUUGUAAAAAAAAAAAAUAAAGACUUUACUUGAAAUUAUAGACAGCCAACCCAACCAAAAACCCUAGGAAAGCACCAGCUAUGACUUCAACCUCAGUAUGACCAACAGUUUCUUUCAAUUGCAGUAGACCAUCACUAACCAACUUUGAGAUUUGUUUUGAAUCUUCUGAGAACAAGUCAGAGGAUAGUAACUCCUCAUCACUUAGCUUUAUUUUGCUUCCUGAUUUAACUAAUACACUUGCAUUAGCCUGUUGUGGUUCCAAAGACUUAGCUUCUAGAGACAAAAGGGACUUUUCGUGAGCUUCUAAUUUUGGUGGAUUGGAUGAAUCAGGAUGAGAGUUGAUCAAAGCAUCUUUAUGUUUGGAAUGUAAAUGGUUGAGAUGCAUUUGGAGAAGUAGUUUGUUUACGGUCUUAGCAUGAAUCCCUACUUCUCUUCUUACACCCUGCAAAUCAUGAAGUCAUAGUCUCAAUUGUCAUCCAACCAGAUCACAUUCACUGAUAAAAUAAACAAUCAAGUUCAAUAAGCAGAACAGCAUGAUAAAGGGAAUUUGCUUGGAGAAAAGUUGUGUCUGCUGGACUUAAGUGCAUGUUUGAAUUUACCAUGAAUUUAAAAAAAUUGAGGCAGAUGGUUUUGUUGAAGCUCUAAAGUGUAGUUUUUGCUUAAACCACAAUGGCACACUAUGAUUCAACCAAACUCUCCAUGAAUGGACAAUGUUUAAACAACUGACUAUGGACAAUGUUUGGUCAUAAUGACCAUAAUUACAGGGUGAAACAAAAAGUUAGUUUCAAGAAAUAUAUGAAGUUUCACAAUAAAUAAGUAAACUAUAGUGUUUGCAAUGAACAAUAAACGGUAAGACUAGUAGGCAUCAUUAAAGGUUUUUAACUAUGUAGCACAUGUCUGGUGUCCAACAUGUAUCGGUGUCGAGCACCAAUGUAACACUGAAAAAUGUAGUUCCUAAUUAUAUUCAAUUACAUCUGUUUUUUCAAAUUAUUACUAGUAUUUUCGUGUUUGUGUCGUAUGCAAUGUCUAUGUUAAUGCUUCAUAGGCUUUUAAGCACGUUAUAUUGAACAAACAAAUCUUUUUUGCAUUAAAAGGUUGCUAAAUGAGCAAACCCAAAUCUAGCUGCAGGCUACAUCAUAUCAAAUUAUCAACCCUUUUUAAAGACAUCUAAAUCUGAGGACUCAGCUAUCUUUCCGUCAUUUGGCACCAAUAAUCUAAAAAUAGAACAACAACAACAACAUUCUUCCAUAUGGAUCAAUCGUCACUAUACAGUUCUGGUAGCAUUACACUGAAUAUAGCUGUGCUGUCUUAAAUCCGAGCUAACAAAUUUCAUACUAUAAUUUCUCUCCCACUCAAGUGACAACCUUACCUUUCUUCCCUAGUAGAACCUUCAUUCAUUAAAUUUAUAUAGGUUAAAAUGUUAAUGAAGUGACAAGGUCAAUGCAGUUGUAGCCUAUACAAAGGAGAUCAAAUCAAGUACAUGAUGCAAUAUUGUUAACUCAGUAGUUAGAUCAUCUUAUAAUAUCUUUUACUGCAAUUUGAGUUUAGGUGUUGAGUGACAACUCCUUGUCAUUUUCAUUGUUCAUUGUGUAAUUUCAUUUUUCAUCUUAUAACAUCUCUUCCCGUUUACCAAUAAUACCAUGGUAAGAACUCCACAAAUAGUUUGAUCAUUAAUUAGAGACAAUCAUAUAGCGACAAUACUCAAUAUCUUAGAAGAUCCUAAUUUAAUCCGACCUAAAGAUUCCUUCAUUAAAUUUGACAUAGUCUAUCGAGCCUUGUGGUGUUUCUCAAAUAGAUUAAGUGUUGUCAAUCGCAUAAAAUAACUGUUUGUUCAAUAUUUGCUACGCUACAACACUACGGUGCCACUCUAGCAGCUAAUUGACAACACUUAAUACUGAAUUGCAUAUCAUCGAGCACUAGCAGAUUGUUUAAAUUCCUCUUUGCUAUAGCAAUAUAUAGCUAUUUGACAACAUUGAAUAGACCUCACAAAUUUUGGGUUUAUUCUAACUACAAUUGAAUCCUAACAUAGUUAAAAGGACAAAUCAAAAGAUGAUGAUGUGAAAGGAUUAUAGGAAUACAUAAUGUAAAUAACAUGAAAAACUAGAUAGAAAGCACCAAAUUUUGACAGAAGAACAUCACACCUGAGCAUCAUACAUAACCAGACCAGCAUACACAACUGCAAGACCAAAAAUGGGAUCUGAGAGGCCCCUGCAUUUGGAUAACAAUAAACAAUUAAAAAAUAACGCACGAACAACUAGGGUCUAUCUACUUUCUGAAAAUGAUUUUCACUUUGUAUGGCAGUGACUGAAAUGACAUUUUUUUAUGAACUUUUGCUUUAAUUGUGAUAGAGAAAAUAUGGAAGCUAACUAGAGAGAAUGCAUUUCCGCAAACACUAUAAACAAUGCUUGACAGUUUUCACAAUUUUCAGAUUUAUUCAAUCUACUUUUAAAGGCAUUUUCAAAAACUUGUGGAAAUGAAAACAGGAAAUACAUGAAGUAAACAGGUCUUAUAUUUUUAAGAAAAUUGCAAUUUCAAGAGGGUAAAGAGAAAAAUGCCAUGAACCAAACACCAGUUGUCCUAACUGAAUUAUCUUACCUCUCAAGGCCAAGGAAUGUUGCACAAGACACUGUUGCCUAUCCACAGGAAAACGUAAACAACAAUGUGAGAAUAAAAGUGAAACCCAACUAUGUGAAAAAUCGACAAAAGUCUAUUGGCAUAGAUGAAAAUGAAAAGAAAGUAAGAUUAAUAAAAGGUUUCAAGAUCAUACAGAAGAGUGUGAAGAUGGAAACCCUCCAGGUUGAAGAAGAGCCUUGAUAUCAAACUCUUUGCCAUACAAAAACACAGAAGUAAAUGGCUUAGAAAUUUGCCCAAUUGCCAUUGAAACUCCAGCUGCAAUCAGAACCUUAACAGCAUAAUAUCACAAAUGAGAAAACAAAUGCCAAUUCAGAAAAAUAAAACAACAAAACAAUAAUUAGGAUAUGAUAGCUUAAUGUAGCACCUACACUUCAGAUUAAAGACAUAUCUAGUAAACAACACUGACACAUGUGGUUUCAUUCAAAUUUUCAGAUUAUUAUCAGUGCCUUGUUCGGUAUCAGACAUCAACACGACAGAUACACAUGUGUUUACAUUCAAAGUAUCAGUAUCAUGUCUAUUGUUUGUAUAGGUACUUCAUAAUAAUAAAAAUAAAAUAAAAAAUAUAUUUAAGAGACAAAAAAAAACAUGAGAAAGCCAUAAUUUGUUGAUAUGAAAAUGGGGUACCUUAUUAUGAGCAAUUUGAGCGAUGUCACCAAGGGAAGAAAUUCUAAAGGUUGAGGCAUUGGGGCUUCUAGGAAAAUAAAAAGGGAAGUUUUGUUUGUGAAGAAGUGGGUUCCUUUGUUUGAGUGAGGAAGGAAUUGAAGAGAAGUUUGAUUGUUGCAACAACAUCAUCGUCCCUAACAUUGCUUAGUUAAGGUCAACCAUGAAACAUGUUCUGUUAAGGUGCCACUCGAUGUUUCUUUCUGCUCAGUAAAAUGAAAUUUGAAAAAACACAAUGAAAUAUGCGCCUUUGAAGCCACUACUAGUGGAUAAUGAUAAUAAUAUAGGGAAGAAUUGAAAAGAGCUAUUGCUUGCGCACUUCACAAAGCUUUCUUUGUGUCUGUUUUUUUUUUUUUUUUUUUUUUUUUGUGUAUUGACUGGUGUUUUCUAUUCUUUUAUAUGAUUUAUUUUCAAUUUCCAUUUUCGAUAUGUCAUUUUACGAUAUUGCCCACCAAGUUUGAUUUGGUUUCUGAAGUGAUUAGCUCACUAUUAAAUAUGGAAGGUUAAAUCUACUUAUUGUUGAAAUAUUCAUAUUUUAUUAUAUUAUAUUUCAAUAAUAUUAUAUCGAUAUAUAUUUUUUAUUAUAAUUUUAUUAAUUAUUUAUCAAAUUAUGUAUAGAUGUCAGAGUGGAUCUUUAUAUUUGAUUUAUUGAGAUGAAUUAUAAUUUAGACCAUAAUUAUGAGUUAUGUAGCUUGUGCACAUUUACGUUUUCUAUUUUCUUUGGGUUUUUGCUACGAAUCUAGUCUUGAUAGAUUAAUACAUGUGAUAUUUUUUGGUCGAAGCCUUUGACCUUAUUUGAGAAAAUGUUCAUUGUGACAGUAAGAUGAAUUUAAAGUUUUUGUUUAUUUGUUAAUUCAAACUUCGGUAAAUGUGAUCUGAACGAUUAUAAAUUUUGACGGUUUGUGUUACUCAGCAAUCGGUCAUGAAAGAUUGGUUAAAUAUUUUUUAAUUGACUAGUCACUAGUGCAAUUAAUAUCAAGCAAGUCAUAAACACAAAACCGUUGCAUAUAUGGUGUCUAUCAAUGCUAGCGGCGCAUUUGGCUCAUCAGUGCAACAAUUAAUUUGAUUCCAAUUGCUUAUUAUUAAUUACUACAAUUUUGUUAGACCCACUUUCAUUUUUAUUAAGUUUAUACAUAUUUUUCUAAUUAUGCUUUUAGGAUAUAUUUCCGUUUGCAUGUGAAUUUGUAUUCACGCUCAAGUAGUCUUGUACAUUUAAGAUUUUUUUUUUAUUUAAUUUGAUAAAUUAGUUUGUCAAGUAAUUAUGAUAGAAUUGAUUAAAACAACAAGUUGCACAAAAUAACAUUUGGUGCGUAGAUUUACUUCGAUCAAAAUUAUAAAGGAUGUAAUAUGAAAUUAUUCAUAUGAGUUGUUGUCAGUAUGAAAGAAGGCACAAUUUGGCUAGAUAGUUUCAUAGUUGUAAGCACAAAGCAACUGCUGCGUAGAUUUGAUUCAAUGAGAAUUACAAAAAAUGUAGUAUAGAAUUGCUCAUGCGAUUAUAGUCGAUCAACGUAUACAAUUUAAUUGAAUAUUUUCAUACUUAUGACGCGUGGUGAUUAUUAAUUUGUUUUCAAGUGGAUAAUGAAGAUGUCAAAAGACACCUAUUAUUUGAUAGAAAUUAUUACCAAUAUUUGAUCAUUCCGAUGAGUGUACCGCUUGCAGUUAAGUCAUGCAUAGUCAAAAGAUUGUGGAUUAAUAGUUCACUUGGUAACUUGUUUUAGUCUUUUAAUUUACAAAUAAAGAUAAAUAGUGCACAUCUUUAUAAUAAUUGUUGAUGUGUCUACUAAUGUUGUUUGUAUAAUUAAAUCCUUUAAUUAUUUGACCGAUUUUAAUUUACACAUAUGAUGGUAAAUAUGUGACAAUUAUAAGGAUAUAUUUUUUAACAAUAGUAAUUGUUAUUGUUUGAUCAUUGCAAUAAAAUACCACUCGCAAUCAAUAUUAUUGUCUAAAGACUUCAUAAUUAAUGUUGCAAUAGGUAUUUUAAUGAGCACAUUUUGUUGUUAUUCUAUUUAAACUAUUAUAAUUUAUGUAUAUGUUAUAUUGAGUUUUAUAAUAUUAUCUUAAAAAGUUCCAACUUUUAGAAUUUAUGAAACAUCAAUAUCCUUCUUGGAUUUAGAUCUUGUAUAAGAAUAAAGAAACUUUAUUCCUCUCACAAUUUAAUAUUUCUAAAGUUAGAGUCAAGUCUGAAACGUGAGUUUUCUCCAAAACACAUCGGUAAUUUGAACAUAAAAUAUGAUGUUAAAAAUAUAUUAGAGGUUUUAAUUAAGACUACAUGUUUGUCGUAUUUUCUUUGCUUAAAUUAAAGUGAUUUUAAAGCAAUAAAGAGAAAACAAGCACCCAUUGAGAAGCUAGCAUUUCAAUAAGAUUAUUAGGCAAAGAAAAAUAAAAUGAGCACAUUAAGUAAAUAUUUAAUCUUAUAAAUACGCAAAAAAUUUGACUGUCAAGUAAGUUGCUCAAAACUUUUUCAUUUGAUAUUCUCCUUGCACAAUUAAGUUGUAACUCCUAAAGUUAGAAAUAAUCAUUUAAAUAAGAUAAUUUCAUAAGGUGUUCAAAAAAGAAAGUAGUGCAGCAAGAGAAAAUAAAAUAGUGAUCAUUUGAAAAAUACCUAAAAAGAUAAAGACAAAUAAAGAAAAUUAAAAUGCAACCGAUAAAUGUCCAAUAGUGUUGAAAAAUACAUCAAUUUAAAAAGGGCAAAGUCAACAAAGAUUGAGGUAUUUUUAGAUUGUCGUUAGUUGCUUAUAUUUAAAUUUAAUUCAAUUAUAACUUGUGACAAUCUAUAAUUACUGAAAGGUUUAAAAAAUUUGUUGAUGUAAAAACUUUUUUGAUGUAUGUUUUAAUGACAACAAACCUUAUGAAAUAAAUAAUUAAGUUUUAUGAAUGGUAAUCUACUAAUGAUUGCACUUGAGUUUUAUUUAAGAAAUAUGACUUGCAUAAGCUGGAGAAUGAGAUGAUUGACCGAGAGUACUUAUGAAACCCGACAUUGAAAGCAAGAAAUCAUUCACAUCAACAAGUGCAUAAGUAUCUACUCAAUAAUGAAAAAAUCUAAAAAAGAAUAUAUCAUAUAUUAAUCAUUUAAGAGAAUGAUUAUUAGAUCUUCAAGAUAGCAUCUUCAUGAAGCAAGUGUCCAAUACAUUCAUACUUAUACUAAAGUAUCUCAGUGAUACUUGAUGGACAAGAUACAACAUGAGAAACACCAAGAUAAAUUUUAGAAAGUAUUGCUUCAACAAAAGAAUGAUGGAAGAAACAUUCACCAUAAUGUUCUGGCUAUUCAAUUAAAGAACAAUUGAAGAAUGGAGCAAUUAAAAGUCAACUUGUGAUCUUUUUAGAAGAACAAAAUGUAGUAAAUCAAUUGGCAUUUUGCACAUGGUCUUCCCAACAUUUAAUGAGCAAUUAAAAGUUAAUAUUUGAAUGUCUACUUGCAAAAACAAACAUGCAGAUUGAUCUCCAAAUUGAUGACAAAUUGAUCUCAAGAGCAUUUUGGUUUAUCAAGAUCAUUCUGGUUCAUCAAAUGAUCAUUCAAUUUAUCAAAAUAUUAUUUUGGUUUAUUAAAAGGUCAGUCUGGUUUAUCAAAAUUAAUCAUUUUGGUUUAUUGAAAAUAAUAGUCUAGAAAAACAAAGAUCAUUCUGGUUUAUUAAAAACAACAGUCUGGAAAAACGAAGAUCAUUAUGGUUUUUUACAGCCUUCAAUCUAGUAAAACCAAAAUCAUUCUAGUUUGCGAAAAUUAAAAACCUUCUUCAAACAACAUCAUUCUAGUUUGUGAAAGUACCAGCUAUAUUCACAUAAUAUCAUUCUAGACAACUUUUCCCAAAAGAUUAAAAGAAGCAAAUUAAAACAUCAAAAACCAUAACAAGAUGUACCUCUAGAUUGAUGUUCUAUGAAACAAGUUCAACUAGGACGUCAAGGAUAAGACACUGAGGUUGCAUCUCUACAAAAAGUCAAUGUGCGUACUGAUGACUCUUCACCAUAUGCAUAUUUUUCAUUGAUUUUAGUCUUAUUUAUCUUUAACCAUUAGUUAAUUUAAGGAGUUAUUUGAUAUAUUUUGUUGAUUUUAGUUCUUGGAUUUAAUGAAAUGUUUAUGUUCUUAUUUGCUUGAUUAAGUAGUUCGUAGUUUUGUGUUGUUACUUUGUUUUGGUGCAGUGCUGAAUUUUGGUGAGAAAUCAACAUGACCUAUGUGGAGUAUUUCAGCCAUAUCUGGAGUUGUAGAUGUCCAAUUGGAGUCACACCAAGUGAAAAUGAAAGCUAAGAUCCAUAGCUACAAUAUUCAUGAAGACACCGGAACCAAAUUCAGACUCGAAAGAAGAGAAAUAUACAGUAUACGUCAGAUAGUAGAUGUUGUGCGUCUAAAGCGCAAUAGCCGCGUCUGAGACGAAUUUCUUGCCUUUCAGCGUGUUUUCUGCGUCUGGGGCACGUGGACACGAUAACAUUCAUUAAAAAUGCAAGUUUUCACUUUUUAGGGAUCUUUUUGACUAUUGAGAAGUUGGGAGACUUGUGCCACAACAUAGAAACUCAAAGACGGCCGUUUCUAACAUCAUUGAAGCAGUUUUAUCAAAAAUCAUUCAUGAAUGUUUCUUGUAAUUCCUCUAUAAUCUCUAUCUUUUAUAACUCUGUUAUGAGUAACUAAACCAUAUUUGUUAGAGAUGAGUGUAAUAAGAUGAAACCCUUAUUUUUCUAAUUUGAUUUCUAGUUAUAUGAAUGAGUUUAUUUAAUUGUUUUUCUCAUCUCUGUGCUUAAUGCUUUUUAUUGUUUGAUCAACAUUAAAAUAUUCUACAAUUCGUAUUUUGUAACAAAAGUGGACUUUAUGAAUUUGUAGUCUAGGGAUAGAUACAGGUCAUGAAACCAAUUAAAUUAGUUGCAGAGACAAUAGUUUAAAAAGAGGAUUCAUGUACGGUAAUGCUUAAUUCUAAUAUUAAAUCUACUAAGGAAUUAGGAGUUACUUUGGAAUUAAAGGUUCUGCCACUAAGACAUUAUGGCAAGAAUAAUAAAGAAAAUUUGGUAAUAAUUCAAUAAAGGAAUUCAGUAACUAGGAUCAAAUUAGACACCAAGGUUGGAUUCGAAGUGAAACUCAUCCCUGACAUUUUUCUGAUUAUAACAGAUCAAUUUUAUUAUUGUUGUUAAUUUCAAAUAUUAUUUCAAUCAAUUCAGAAACUUUUUGUUCAAUUUUAAUAAUUAAAUAUAAUUCGAAAGUAAAAUGCAAUCCUUGAGUUCGACACUCGGUACUACCGUUUUAAUUAUUACUUAGAACGAUUCAGCACACUUGCUGAAACGCUAUCACGUACAAAGUAGAAAAAGACUGACAUCAAACAACUGUCAAAAGCUCUCAGUCCAACACUUACUCAAAACAGAAAUGAAGAACGUUAAGGUUUUACACAAAAGAACAUCCUAAUUAUUCUAUUUUAAAGAUAUAAUUAAAACAUAUAAUUUUCCACACUCCAAAACACAAUUUAAAGAGUAUCAAGACUGCUCAAAUCAACGGUCAAGCCCAUAACUCGAGUUGAAUGCCCAAAUGAGGAAAACAACCUCUGAAUUGAUGACCAAUUCGAUCUCCAAAGUGAUGAGUUGUGAGCAAGGACACAAAUACAUUAUACUUACAUUAUUCUACAUAAAUUUGAUUUGAAAUAGUACCAACUGACAUUUCACAACUCAUUCACGUUUUCCAUUAGACUCAAAAGAAAGAACAUUCUUUGUUAGUCAAGAACAUUCUGGACAGUAAUAUAAACAUGUGUUUAAUUGCUUUAAAAUAGAUCUGACACUUGGGAAAUGUGUUCAACGACUAUAUUCAGUUUAAACUGGAUAUUCAAAGUCUUUUAUGAUCUAUAAAUUAAAUAUCAAUUGAAAGAUGAAUGCAAUAGUUCAAUUUAAAAAUCUACCAAUAUUUGUUCAAGUAAUAACAAGUCAAAACUCUUCAAGAAAACUCUAUCUCUUUUCUAUAUAUUUGUGGAUCAUCAUUUACUGAGUUUGUCUUUAUUUAUCUCAAACAAGUGUUGAGAAGUUUCAAGAUCCCAAACACUUUUAUCACACACAUCAUUUGUAACUCAAGUCUAUAUUUUAUGUUAGAUUGAGUAUGGUUGUAAAAAUGCUUUCAAGGCUAAAAUGUGAUUGUAAAAAUCCUUUCUAGGUUGAAAGGUGAAGAUUGUAAUUGACCAAGAUGUUUUCAAGAGAAAAAGUGUGAAGAAGAACAUUUUGGUUCUAAAGCACAUAAUGAAAAUCUCAUAGUUAGGAGGACUGGACUAGUCCGAGUUGGGUGAACCAGUAUACUUUUUGUGUGUGAUCUUUUUAUGUCUUAUCUUUAAUUAUUUGCACACACAAAUCGCACUUCAUUAUAAAUUGACCUAUUUUAUUUACUUCUAACAUAUCCAUAACAUUUUGGACAUUCUCUUUCAACUAAAAUUGAUCUUGAGUUAAUUUAAAUUAAGCACAAGAAUCAAAAUUUUAAAAGGGUCACAAUUCAAACUCCUAUUUCUUGUGAUUGACAUUGCUACUUCAAAAUCGGUUAUAGAUCAAUUCAAUAGAUGCUAUUGAUGUAGCAAAUUUAGGUCCUCAUAGGAUAUUAUUGUUUUUUCUCCCAAUCAAGUUAAGAAAAUUGUUUAUGAAGAUCAAAUUCAAAACCCUCAAGAACUAGAGCAUAUGAUGUCAUGAAUAAUUGACUGUAACGAGAAAUUAUAUUUGGUCUUCUUAAAAGAAUCUAUUGGACAGUCAUGAAACUCGUUGCUCAUUCUAAUUUUUUGAAACUAUAUAAGAUGAAUGUCAAUACAAUGUUUCUUAAUGACAACAUUAACGAAACAUCAUAGUGCAAAUCAAAGAAAAAUUUAUGUCAUAAACACAAAAUAAAUGAUUUGAAAACAAAUGUAAUUCAUCUUUAAGUUAAUGAAUAAGUCUCAUUAGUGAUACCACUGUUUCAUAAGGUAAUUAUCUUACGGCUUAAAUAUGUUUUUGGUCCCUGUAAAUAUAAGUUACUUUUAUUUUAGGCCAUGUAAAUAAUUUCUUUUAUUCAUAUCCUUGCAAUUUCAAAUAAGUUUUAAAAAGUCCUUAUUAAUUUUUUUUUAAUAAACAAUAAUGAAGUGGCAAAUUUGGCAUGAUUUGACUGUAUGAAUGACGCUGAGUACCUAUUUUUUAUUAUUAAAAAUUAAAUAACAAUUCAUUUAAUAAAAAAUUACCAAAAAAAUUGUUAAGCUUUCAUUUAUAAAUAAAAAAAAAAUUACAUAAAUUCAAAAACAAAAAACUCAGAAAUUUCAAUCCCAACCCCAUAAAUGGAUCAUCUUCUGCGAGCCAUUCAUUUAUUCAAAAAAGAACAAUUUCCAUCUUUCAAAAAAUAUUUUAUUAAAAUAAUAAAUAAAACAAAUCUUUCUUAUAAAAUAAAUAAACCCACAUGUUCAUCCUCAAGAAUCUGAGUUUCUUACUAUAAUAAAUGUACACGAAAGUUUACUAUAACAACAAUAGAUUAUGUUGGAACCAAAUUUGUUUUACAUUUAGAGUUUUGAUGUUAACAAAAAUAUUUUUUGAAAACAAUAUAUUUGACUUCAAAGAGUACGAAAGAAGAUUCAUGUUUUGGAAGAAAAUCUAAAAUAAGAUUUGAUUCAAAUUUAUACUUGAAGAAAAUCUAAAAUAAGAUUUGAUUCAAAAUUAUAAUUGAUGAAAAUAUAAAAUAAGAUUUGAUUCAAAUUUAUAAUUGAAGAAAUCUAAAAUAAGAUUUUAUUCAAAAUUAUAAUUGAUGAAAAUCUAAAAUAAGAUUUGAUUUAAAAUUAUAAUUGAAGAAAAUCAUUGACCAAGUUGAAAAGAAGAUAUAGUCUAGAUUUGAAGAAUACUUGAAGAAGAUUUGAAGAAGAUUCGAUCAAGAUUUAUCUACAACAAAAUAUAAAUAGAAUCAAUCUGAAGAAUUUACAAACUCAAUCUACAUAAAAUAGAAACAUAAUCAAUAUGAAGAAUUUACAAACUCAAUUUGAACAAGAUACAAUUCAGAAUUAAACAAGGUCUAAAUUGAAGUCCAAAUUUUCACUAUGAAUAGACACUCAAGGCUGAAGAAUAAAAAUAUCGAAAAGCAUAAAAGAGCAUAAGAACUCAAGCUCAAAGUUCUAAACUCAUCUUAGAGUUCAAAGAGAGAAACACAUGUUCAUGUUAGAAAUAUUUUCUGAGUGUUCUUUUCUUAGAGUAUGAGAGUUAUUAUCAUCAUCAGCUUUUUAGAAACAACUACUAAAGUUCCAAUCUUUUGUAUCCAACUCGACAGUGGUUUAGUUCCUUCUUCAAUAUGGGAUGUCAGGUUGUUAGGAGAAGACUUGGCUUGUAGGUCGAGGUGGUUAGUUCCUCAAAAGUCUAGGGUUGUCAGGUUGUUUGGGAAGACUGACUUGGAGGGUCAGGUGCUUUGUAUUCAAGGUUUUUGAAUUAGUCGAUUAAAGCAUUCUAAAUGAGGGGAUUGGAUGUAGCCAAGUUAGUGGUGAACCAGGAUAAAUCUACGUGUCAAAUUAUUUAUGCUUUCAUUGUUUGCUGCCUCUGAAUCUGAUUGCUUCUACUUUAAGUAAGUCACCAACACCAAACAAUAUUUUUUUAAUUAUUUAAAAACUAUCAAAAAGUUGUCAACUUUGGAAAACGACCCUUCUCUAAUUUUAACGUUCAUAUUAAACCUUCAAAACCUAUUGAUUAAUGGGAUUGAUUUCCUACUAAAAAAUUUAUAUUGUUUUACUAAAACUAAACCCCAAAUAAUUGGGUUUAAACAAACCUUUUCUGUUAGUUUUAUUCAAGCUCUCACUGCUACAAAAAUUGUAAAACACAUGUUUUUGAUGAAGACAAAGACCAAGGAAUGUGAUCAAAGUUACAAGCUCAAAAAGAAGUCAAAUAAUCAAAGUCAACUAUGGUCAAACAUAUUAGAAGUUUAAUAAAUGUAAAGGUACAUAAUGCAAUCUAAUAUUCUUAUAUUUCAAAUGCACACGAGAACCUUUCAUUUUAGUAUAUGCAUCAAAAGGAUUUUAAAAAUGUCAAAAAUGCAUAAACAAUGUUUUUGAAAAUAAUAUUUUUGGCAAAAUACAAUGUUGUAGCUGAAUACAACAUGUUGUAGCCGAAUACAGACAUGUCAGUAGCUAAAACUGAACAUCGGUAUUCGACUACGAGAUGGUGUAGUCGAAUACAAGUACUAAGUCAGUAGCAAAAACUAAACAUUUGUAUUCGACUACGAGAUGGUGUAGCCGAAUACAAGUGCUAAGUCAGUAGCUAAGAUUGCACAUUUGUAUUCGACUACAACCUGCUGUAGUCGAAUACAACAACAAGUUAGUGGCAAAAUUCACCUAGUUGUAUUCGAAUACAAGGUUUCGUAUUCAAAUACGAUGUUGAAAUUUCCAAUAAAAACUGAGCGUUACAGAGGUGUAUUCAACUACACACAAGUAGUAGUCGAAUACAACUGUAAACAAUGCAAUUUUUCAAUUCUAAAAUGAUUCUUGAUCAUUGCAUUUGUUCAUCAAACCUCUGGGAACGAUGGCCACUGAUCUGAAGUGAUGUCUAUGGAGUAUAAAUACCCCAUAACUUUAGUUUAAACAAAAAUCAAUCCUACUACCAAACCUUGAACAACUUUGAACAAUUUUUCUGAAAUAUUCUCAAAGUUAUUUUUCAUAUUUCAAGUACUUGCAUUACAUUUUCACAUCAUUGAGAAAAGUUUUCUAGUAUACUUGAAAUAUUAUUGGAUUGAUAUCAUUUACAACUAUUAUACUCAGAUUCUUAGUCAAGAACAUUUGUUAAAAAAUCAUUGAAGUUAUUGUAUUGUAUUUAAAGAAAGUAGUGUACUUUCUUUAAGUAUUAUAAUCUAAAAUAAUGGUGUUAUAUCUUAGGAAGUGUUUUAGAAGUUUGUAGCAGAGAUCCUAGGGUGGGAUUUGUACAUAUUCUAACAAUAGUGGAAAAAUCUCUUGUGGUGUGCAAGAGGACUGGAUGUACUGUUGGGCAUAAUGGGAACCAGGACAAUAUCGAUGUGUUCAUUAUUUUUCUGCCAUUUAUCUUUGUCAUACACUAUCUUAAUUAGAAAAAUCAAUCACUAAAUCUCUAAAAACAAGAAAAUUUCUAAAAACCUAAUUCACCUCCCUCUUAGGUGCACCUCUGUUCUUACAAUUGGUAUCAGAGUAGGUUCCGGUAAUUUGCUCAUCAAUCCUUAUUAAUGGCUUCCGCACAACCAGUUUUUAUAGAUGGUGGUAGUAGCAAUAAACCAUCAUGCUUCGUUGGAGAACACUGUGAAUUUUUGAAGAUACGCAUGCAGGCAUAUCUUGAGGCACUAGAAGAUGAUAUUUGGGAAGCAGUAGAAAAUGGUCCCUAUGUUCCAAAAACAGUCAUCGACAAUAAAGAAUAAACAAAAAUUAAAGUCUCAUGGACAGAUGAUGGCAAAAGGAAAUUGAUGUUUGAUAAGAAGGCAAAAAACAUAUUACAAUCAGCACUUGGAAUAGAUGAAUUCUUUCGCAUGUCACAUUGCAAAACGGCUAAAGAAAUCUGGAAUACACUUGAAGUAACUCAUGAAGGAACAAUUGAGGUAAAACGUUCUAAACUCGAUACAUUAUCUCAAGAAUAUGAAUUAUUUCGAAUGCAUCCCAGAGAAUCCAUUUUGGACUUACAUAAAAGAUUUUCUCAUAUGACCAACCAUUUGUCGACACUUGGAAAAAUCUUCAGUAAUGAUGAACUAAACCUCAAAAUGCUAAGAUCAUUAACAAGGUCUUGGCAGCCGAAAGUAACAGCAAUUUCUGAAAAUAAAAACCUAUAAAAAAGGUCUCUUUAUGCACUUUUUGAAAAACUUCAAGAACAUGAAAUUGAACUUGGAAGGUUAGAAAAUAAUGAAAGUCAAGAGCAGAAGACCAAGAAAAUUUCCUUGAAAGCAUAAUCAAAAGAACAAAUCAAUAAUAAAAAUUCAGUUGAAGAUGAAAACAUCACCUUUCUCGUAAAGAAAUUUGGUAAGUUUCUUAAAAACGAUAAAACUUUUAAAAAGAAAAGUUUCAGAAAGAAGGAUGUUUCCACUUCAAGCCAAAACUUCACUUGCUUUUAGUGUGGGAAGCAAGGACACAUAAAGUCAGAAUGUCUAAACACUAUCAAGAAAAAUGCUCUCAAUUCAAAAAGGCAUAUAUAGCAUGGGAGGACAAUGAAGUGAGUUCAUCUUCGAAUUCGAAAAGUGACGAAUGCGCAAAUGUUGCCUUGAUGGCAUCACAUCAAUCCGUUGAAGAAGAAGAAGUGAGUAACAAAUACUCUCCUCAUCAUAAUGAGACUAAUAGUGAAUUAAUUAUUGAAUAUAAUGAUGCUCAAAAUGCAAUUAAAGAACUACUUAUGGAAUGUAAAAAUUUAUUUAAAAUAGUGUCAACUCAAAAGAGACAAAUAUCAUCUCUUCAAGAGAAAAUUGACACUAUGAAAAAGGAUUCUGAAAAAUUAAAACAGAAUUUUACAUGCAAUAAGUGUGAUUCUCUUUCUUUCAAAAUUGUCCAAUUAAAUAGAGUAAUUGAAAGAUAUGAAAAAGGAUAAGUUGGAUUGGAAAAUGUGUUAAAUAUGCAAAGAUAUUCAAAUGACAAAAGUAGUAUUGGUUACUCAAAAUUUGAUAAACCAAGUAUAAAUAAAACUAUCUUUGUUAAAGCAAGUGACCAAUCCAAAGAGAAAAUUAUAAUUAUGCCAAGAGAUCAUCAUUUUAAGGAGAAAGUUAUUCAAAAGAAAUCUCACAUACAUACAUAUAGAAGUAAAUAUACUUCUACAUGCUUUUAUUGUGGUCUAAAUGGUCACACACCUAAUGCUUGUCAUUUUAGAAACUUUGGUGUUCCAAAUGGGCAUUAUGUGUGGGUCAAGAAAGGUACUAAUCCUCAAGGACCCAAAGCACUUUGGGUACCUAACAAAUCAUGAUCUUAUUUUGUAGGUAUGCAAACAAAGUACCUCUAAUAUGUGGUAGUUGGAUAGUGGAUACUCAAAACACAUGACCGAUGACAAAACAAAAUUUUCAGUUCUAACUCUUGAAUCAAAAGGUUAUGUGAUCUAUAGAGAUAACAACAAGGAAAAAAAUUUAAGCCUGUGAAAAAAUUGGUACAUCCCCAUCUCAUUCAAUAGAAGAUGUUCUAUAUGUUGAGGGUUUAAAACACAAUCUUAUUAGCAUCAGCCAGCUUUGCGACAAGGGUUACAAAAUUGCUUUUAACAAAGAUGAAUGCAUUAUCCGAAACGAAGUAUCAAAUGAAAUCCAGUUUGUUGGUAAGCAUUUUAAAAAUAUUUUUAUACUUAAUCUUGAUGAUUUAUCCUUAAAAAUGAAAUGUCUUAUGGUAAGUGAUAACAAUGAUGCAUGGCUGUAGCAUAAAAGAAUUACACAUAUCCAUAUGGAUCAUUUAAACAAGUUAGUCAAGCAUGACCUUGUUGUAGGCUUACCAAAGAUGAAAUUUAUAAAGGAUAAAUUAUGUGAUACUUGUCAAAAGGGUAAGCAAACUAAGGUUUCAUUUAAACCCAAGAAUAUUAUAUCAACCUCAAGACCACUUAAAUUGAUACAUAUGGACUUAUUUGGUCCAUCAAGAACUAAAAUUCUUGGUGGAAAUUCAUAUGGACUAGUAAUUCAUUGAACGUUUGUAUUCGAUUAUGAGAUGAAGUAGUCAAAUACACGUGCUAAGUUAGUAGCAAAAAUUGAACAUCUAUAUUCAACUACGAGAUGAUGAAGCCGAAUACAAGUGUUAAGUUAAUAACUAAGACUGCAAAUUUGUAUUCGAUUGCAACUUGGUGUAGUCGAAUACAAUAACAAGUUUGUUGCAAAAUUCACCCAGUUGUAUUCGAAUACAAUGUUUCAUAUUCAAAUACGAUGUUGAAAUAUCAAAUAAAAACUGAAUGUUAUAGAGGAGUAUUCGACUACACACAAGUUGUAGUUGAAUACAACUGGAAACAAUGCAAUUUUUCAAUUCUGAAAUGGUUUUGGAUCAUUACAUUUGUUCAUCAAACCUCUAGGAAUGAGGUCACUAAUCUGAAGUGAUGUCUAUGGAGUAUAAAUACCCCAUAACUUCAGUUUAAACAAAAAUCAAUCCUACUACCAAGCCUUGAACAACCUUGAACAACUUUGAACAAUUUUUCUGAAAUAUUCUCAAAGUUAUUUUUUAUAUUUCAAGUUCUUGCAUUACAUUUUCACAUCAUUGAGAAAUGUUCUCUAAUAUACUUGAUAUAUUAUUGGAUUGAUAUCAUUGUACAACUAUUAUACUCAGAUUCUUAGUCAAGAACAUUUGUUACAAAAUCAUUGAAGUUAUUGUAUUGUAUUUAAAGAAAUUAGUGUACUUUCUUUAAGUGUUGUAAUAUAAGAUAAUGGUGUGCUAUCUUAGGAAGUGUGUUAGAAGUCUGUAGCUGAGAUCUUAUGGUGAGAUUUGUACAUAUUCUAACAAUAGUGGAAAAUCUCUGGUAGUGUGCAAGAGGACUGGAUGUACCGUUGGUCAUAAGGGGAACCAGUAUAAUAUCGAUGUGUUCAUUAUUUGUACUGCCAUUUAUCUUUGCCAUACACUAUCUUAAUCAGAAAAAUCAAUCACUAAAUCUCUAAAAACAAGAAAAUUUCUAAACACCUUCAAAACCCCAAACCCCCCCCCCCCCCCCCUCUUAGGUGCACCUCUAUUCUUUCAAAAGUCGAUGGCAAGUUCUAUUCGAAUCCUAAUCCAAGCCGAACAUAGCCGCCUACGUCGAGAAGAAUUUAGAAACAACCAAGCCUUAUAUUAUGAUGCCAUCGCUGACGUUGAAGAUAGGCUAAGAUGGAAUAGUUGAAUCUAAGUUUAAGAUGGGUUUGGAUGGGAGCAGAGUGGUCCUUAGUUAACUGUGGUAUAUGCUUGUUGUGCGAAACCGAGAUGUUUUUAACGAAAGUUUAACAAUGAAAGAUCUUGGAGACGUCUCUUUUUUUAUUUGACAUUGUAAUACCUAGAGAUAUUUCUCAUGGUAUCCUUGGGUUAUCACAUGAGAGAUAUAUCAAAUCAAGUGACAUCUUAAUCACUUAAGGGAUACUAUUUUAGUCUCAAAUUUUGCUAAAUAGAAAAUUUUGAAAUUCGUAACCAUUAGUUAUUUCUCCAUGCUUUAGUUAUGGCGAGUCUAAUAUAUGAUCUUAUUUAUACGUAUUUGGAAAUAGUGUAUAUAGUACAAUCAAUUGAUAGAUACUUUAGCAAUAUAUGUUUGAAUUACUAACAAAAACAACCAUAAGGAUUGUUAAAGAGAACAAUAGAGGUUAUGUUCACUAAUCAGAGAUCUAACAAUUUGGAGAUCAUCAGUAUAUUUGACCUUGACUUUUUAGAUGUCUACAUAAAGAGGACACCUUAACUUAGGAAAUGGUUGAUUUAUUUAUGCCAUUUGGUUGCAUAUAGUUAAAAGUAUUGAAAGGCCACUCAAAUUAUAUUGUGACAUAAAUCAACCGUUUAAUGUUUCAACAACAAAUUUUAUAAAGUGUAUUGGUAUACAUCUUAUUGUUGUUGAAGAUUAGAAAAUAUAGAUAUAGACUCAAUGCUAGCUGACCCACUAAUAAAGGCUUUGACACCUAAGGUGUUUCAUAUGGUUGUUAUCACUAAGGAUGUCUUAGAUUAGUGGUAGUCUCUCUUCCUUUAUGUUCUAUACUUUGGUUUUGAAAUUGAUAUGGACUUUAUGUUACGAUUUUCUGUGGAAAUAAAGUUUAUGAGGUUAUCAUUAUAGUAACCGUUUUGUAUUGUGUGUGCAAAUAUUAAUUUCACACUAGAGGAACUUCAGUUUCAUCUCACUAAAGAUUUAGUUGGACCAGCUGGAAAUAGGCGUGAUAUAGAGAUCACAUUGAUCUAUGUCAUCAAGUACAUUGAUGUGGUGAUCGUCAUGGUUUAGUCAUAUAGUAUGUUAGUGACGACAACCGCCGUGGUCCCACUAUUAAUGUAUGAGGUGGACCAGAUUGUAAAAGAAAAUCUAAGGAUAAAUAACAUUUGGAUGUGCAUCUAAAGAAUUAUGAUAAAUUAUUACGAUAUAUUGCUCAAUUGGGAGAUCGUUGGAAUAUUUAUAUUUUAUUAUAUUAUACUCCAAUAAUAUUAUGUGGACAUAUAUUUUCUAUUAUAAUUAUAUUACCUAUUUGUCAAUAAAGACCUUAAUUUAUUAGUGAUCAUAUUAAAAAUAAGACUAUUUAGACUUUUUAUUAGAUAAUUAAUAAAUAAUUAACUAAAUGAUAUUGGCCAAAUUAUGGGUGGAUGUUAGAUGUCCCAUUGAGGAAUAUUGAGAACCGAAUUGACUAUCACUCUACAUAUAUGCUAUGAUCUCCAAUAUACUUGACACACUGCAUAUUGUCUAUUCUCCCCCAUCUGAAUAGUGCUUAGGAUAUAAAAAGUCUAAGUUGAAGAAGAGCCAUAAAGUCAACAGGUACUCGUCAUCCGUCUCUAUUUUCAGAAUCAAUGCUUAGAGACAGUUCAAGCAUGCCACCAUACAGACUUUGUAGAUUGAUUUGGUAAUAUCACAUGUUAGAGUAUCUUGCAAAUCAUCAUUGACGCAUCCAAGCUUUUGUUCCAGAUUGAACUCUGAUAUAGCACGGGUGAGGAAAAAUUAUACUUACUUUAUCUAUAGUAUUUGUCUUAGCAUAAAUUUUAGAUUUAAAAAUUAAUGUAAUUCAGCUUGAUUUUCAACUAGAUAAACUUUAUAAAUGCAUGUGUAUGUUUUUUUUAAUAGGUAAAUGUUAAUAAAUAUAGAUGUAUGUACUAUUUUUUUAAUGGUGUAGGUGUAUGUACCAUUGGAAUAGUUAAAUCAUACAAAGAGGUAAAUGAUAGCGUUUCAGCAAGUGUACUGAAUCGUUGCAAGAAAUAAUACAAUGGCAGUAACGAGUUUCGAACUCAAGAAUUGCGUUUUACUAUCGAGUUGUAUUUAAUUACUAAAAUUGAACAAAUUUUUUUCAAAUUGAUUGAAAUAAUAUUUAAAAUUAACAAUAGUAAUAAAAUUGAUCCUUUAAAAUAAGAAAAAUGUCAGGGAUGAGUUUCACUUCGAAUCCAACCUUGGUGUCUAAUUUGAUCUUAGUUACUGAAUUCCUUUAUUGAAUUAUUACCGAAAUCUCUUUAUUAUUCUUGCCCUAAUGUCUUAGUAACAAAACAUUUAAUUCCAAAGUAACCCCUAAUUCCUUCGUAGAUUUAAGAUUAGAAUUAAACUUUACCAUACAGGAAUUCUCUUGUUAAACUAUUGUCUUUGAAACUAAUUUAAUUGGUUUCAUGACCUACAUCUAUCCCUAGACUACAAAUUCAUGAAUUUCUCAUCUCAAGCAUUCGUAAAGUCCACUUCCAUUUCAAAAUACAAAUUGUAGAACAUUUUAAUGUUGAUCAAGCAAUAAAAAGCAUUAAGCACAUAGAUGAGAAAAACAAUUCAAUAAACUCAUUCAUAUAACUAGAAAUCAAAUCAGAAAAAUAAGGGAUUCAUCUUGUUACACUCAUCCCUAAAAAAUAGGGUUUAGUUACUCAUGACAAAGAUACAAAAUAUAGGGAUUAAAGAAGAAUUACAAGAAUGAUUCAUGAAUGAUUCUUGAUAGAACUACUCCAAUGAUGUUAGAAACGACCGUCUUUGAGUUUCUUUGCUAGGGCAUAAGUCUCCCAACUUCCCAAUAGUAAAAAAGAUUCAUAAAAAGUGGGAAAAAUGCGUUUAUAAAUAUUUAGCAGUGUGCCACGCACCACAGGCGUGAAAUUUGCACUUCAGACACAAGUGGACAGAGUCAGGAAGGCCAAAAUGCGCUCCAGGCGCAAGUUUUUGCGCUACAGGCGCACAACAUUUGAUUUAUGACUUUGGUUCUGGUGUCUGCAUAAAGGUUCUGGUGUCUGCAAUGGAUCUUAACUUUCAUUUGUGUUUGAUUUGACUCCAAUUAAAAAUCUACAACUCUAGAUGUGGGUUAAAUACUCCACAUAUGUCAUGUUGACUUCUCACUAUAAUUCAGCACUGCACUAAAACAAAGAAACAACGCAAAAAUACGAAAAAUCUCUACUUAAUCAAGGAAAUAAGAACAUAAACAUUUCAUUAAAUCAAAGAACUCAAAUCAACAAAAUAUAUCAAAUAACUCUUCAAAUUAUCUAAUGAUUAAAGAUAAAUAAGACUAAAAUAAUAAAAAAUAUGCAUAUGAUGAAUAGUUAUCACAACUCUAAACUUAAUAUGUUGCUUGUCCCCAAGCAACAAUUAAUUUCAGAUUUGGUACAGUUAAAAGUAAACUUAAACUCAAUUUCUCAAAUCAAAUCAAACUCAAUUUUCAAAAUUUCAGCUACUACAAAACAUUCAUCAUGCUAUAUGGUUGCUUACAAAAAACAACAAUUUGUACACUUUAGCAUUCAAUCGUCAAUUUAAAUUGCUUAGAAUGAUGUGAUUGAUCUCAACCAAUUAUAAAUUUAUAGUAGCUUUAAAUUUAUUGAUAAAAUGAAUAUAAUUAAAAUUUUAUAAAUUAGUGUUGCUAAAAUACUUUUCAAUAAACAAAAUUCACUGAAAAAACUUUAUUAAUAAGAUUCCAUUAAUUUUAUACAAUAAGAUUACAUUAAUUAAUAUUAUAUUAAUAUUAUUGAAAUUGAUUUGUCACAUGUAACAUUGGUACAAUUUUUUGUUGUAAGUGAGAAUAAAUUUCCUAAAAAUUGUAUUCUUUAGGAUUUUUUACGUAUAAAAUUUGGAUUUGAAAUCUUGAUAAUCUUAAUAACCUUACCUUAAUUAGUUGUAUUGUUAAAAAACGUUUCAUUGCUAUAAACAAAAAAAAUCCAUUUUCUUAAAGAUCAAACCACCCUAAAAACUAUUUACUAAAGAUUCAUUAGUUUCAUAGCAAAAUAAGAACAUUAAAUUAAUAUCUAUCUAUCUAUCCUAUAUAAAAAUAAAAAUAAAAGAUCUCGUCUAUUUUGUAAAAUGUACACGUAUCAUUAAAAUUGAACACAAAAUUGAUUAAUUAUAUGAUCAUAAUAUGAUAAUAAUAAUAAUAAUCAUUUUAUGAUAAUGAAUAUUAUAUAGUGUUGUUAAAACGAAGAUCAAUCAAUCACUAAAUCAAGAAUGUUAUUGGUUUCUGUAAAAUGAAGAACAUUCUUCAUUUUCUGACAAACAAAUUAAAGCUUUCAAUGCAAAAAAUGAGCACACACGAUUGUUAACUCAGUUCAGAGAUGAACUCAUACAUUUGGGGGACUGGAUCAAACUUUGAAUUAUCACUAAUAUGAGAUGAAAAAUAAUUACAAUGUUUUGUUGCCAGUUUUCCACACUCUACAAAACUGCAACUUGCAUUCUCUAUGAGUCUCUCUUAUUUUUCAGCAUUGCUUAACUUGGCUUAUAUACAAGUUGUUUAUAAUUUAGAAGCAACAAACAAAAGUAGUUAUAACUAACUAACUGAAAACUAACUAUCCAAAGUUAACUCUAUCUUCAAAGUCUUCUAAUUGAGUACCACAUAUUAACACAUCUCCACCUUGGUACAAAAUGAGAAGCUCCAGUCUGUGAUUCUUCAAGUCAGAUCCUCUUAGUCCUUUGCCUCAGUUUCUGGAAUUGAUCUUAAGCAAAUUCAAACACUGUCUGAAUUUGUUUAGUGUGACAUGUUUUGUAAACAUGUCAGCUGGAUUGUCACUUGUGUGCAUCUUUGCCAUAUUUAUCUCACCCUUUUCAAUGAUAUCCCUAAUGAAAUGGAGCUUGAAGUUUAUAUGCUUAGUUCUUUCAUGAUACAUUUGAUUUUUACUCAAAUGAAUGCACUUUGGCUAUCACAAUUUAUGCAACCUGACUCUUGUUUAACACCAAGUUCAAUGAUAAAUCCUUUCAGACAAAUUCCUUCUUUCGCAACUUCAGGAAGAGCAACAAAUUCUACUUCUGUUGUUAAUAAUGCCACUAUGUGUUGGAGAUUAACUUUCCAACUGACUGUGUUGUUGUACACUGUAAACACAUAUCACGUAAGAUACCUUCUUCUAUCUAAAUCUCCAGCAAAAUUAGAGUCUACAAAUUCUUGGAUUGGUUUUGAUGGUUUUCAACUUUUGUUGUAUUCCAAACACAUGCUUUGAGUUUCCUUUAGAUACCUUAGAAUCCAUUUGACAGAUUGCCAAUGGCUCAUCCCUAGAUUUCCUGUAAAUCUGCUUGUGACACUUACAACAUGAGAAGUGUCUGACCUUGAGCAGACCAUAGCAUACAUGAUACUCCCUAUGGCACUUGCAUAUGGUAUUGUCUUCAUGUUUUCUAUUUCUUGGUUUGUGUUUGAUGACAUGUCUGAAGAAAUUUUGAAGUGAGUUGCAAGUGGAGAGCUAACAACCUUUGAUUCACUCACAUUGAAUCUAUUUAGGACUUUUCCAAUGUAGCUUUCUUGAGAAAUUAUCAGUUUUCCUUGCUCUCUGAUUCUGAUGAUUUCCAUUCCUAGAAUUCUUUUGACUGGCCCCAAGUCCUUCAUCUCGAAUUCUUUCUUCAGUAGGCUCUUCAAUUUUUCUAUUUCUUUCAUACUCUUAGAUGCUAUUAACAUGUCAUCCACACAUAUAGCAACAAGUAAAUGUAUGUUGCUGAUGAUACUUGUUUAUAAUACACACAACUAUCAAAAAUACUUCUAACAUAACUUUGACUAAGCAUGAACGAAUCAAAUCUCAAAUACCACUAUUUUGGUAAUUGUUUUAGCUCAUAGAGUGACCUCUUUAGCAAGAAGACCCAAUCCUCAUUUCCUUGAGUCCUAAAGCCAUCUGGUUAUUGCAUUAAGAUUGUUUCCUUCAGGUCACCAUGAAGAAAUGAUGUUUUGACAUUCAUCUGCUCUAAUUCCAUGUCAAAGUGUGCUACCAUGGCUAGAAUUAUCCUUAUAGAUGCAUGCUUGACAACCAGAGAAAAUAUUUCAUUGUAGUUUACACCUUCCCUUUGAGUGAAUCCCUUUGCUACUAGCUUUACUUUGAACCUAGUUGGUUCAACUCCUGAAAUUCCGUCAUUCCUCUUGAAGAUCUACUUGUUGCCUACAAGUGUUGUUCCCAAGUAUUGUUCUUCUCUAGUGAUUUCAGCUCCUCAGUCAUGGCUAAAGUUCAUUUGUCUUUGUCUUGCGACCUGACAGCUUCAUUGUAGUUCAUAGGAUCUUCUUGUACGAUUCCUUGAGCAGCAUGUAAUGCAUAACUGACCAUGUCUACACAACUAUAUCUUUGAGAGGGUUUUGAUGUCAUUCUUUCUCUAUCCCUGAUGAGAUUCUAGUCAUCUACUUCAUGUUCUUCUGGACUAUCAUGGUCUGGAAACAUAACAUGUUCAGAUGUAUCAGUCUUGUCUUAUUGAGUCGGCUAUUGAUCUGAAACCAAGAAUGCUCUUGGUUUUUGGUGACCUUUCUCCUUUUAUAUGGCUUGCUCCACCACAAGAUAAAAUCUCUCAGCUUCAGUUUGAUGUGCACUUUCAUUUUCAGCUUUGGUUAUUGACUUAUAUAGGUUAGCCUCAUGAAAUUUAACAUCUCUACUGAUGAUACAUUUCCUACUUUCAAGACACCAUAUCUUAUAACCUUUUACACCACUUGGGUAUCCAACAAAGUACCCUUUCUUGGCUCGAGGAACUAGUUUCCCUUCAUUUACAUGAUAGUAUGCUGCACAUCCAAAAACUUUUAGGUGACUGUAAUUAGCAGCAUGUCCAGUCCACAUUUACUGAUGAGUUUUGAGUUUAAUUGUAGUUGAAAGACUCAAGUUUAUCAAAUAGAAAGUGUAUGGACAACUUCUCCCCAAAAGUGUGCAGGCAUGCCUACAUUUGAAAGGAUGCAUCUCAUUCUUUCAAGCAAUGUUCUAUUCAUCCUUUCAGCUAGUCCAUUUUGUUGAGGUGCGUGUCUUGCAGUCAUAUGCUUAUUCACUCCAUUAGUUUUGCAAAAACUAGUGAACUCCUCACUACAAAAUUCAAGUCCAUACUUUUAAGGUUUUGAAUGCUUCAUCCUUACUUUUCAACAAGUAAAUUCACACUUUUCUACUAUAAUCAUCAACAAAUAUAAUGAAAUACUGGUUACCUCCAUGUGAAGUGUAACACCCUUUUUUUAAUUAAUUAAUUUAAAAUCGUUAGUUUUGUUUAUCCUUUUAUUAAUUUAGUGUGACGAUAGUAAGAUAAUAAUUCUUUGGAUGUUUAAUUAUUUGAUAAAGUAUUUUCAUAUUAAAUAAUUUAUUAUUUGGACUUUUAUUAUUGACUAAGUAAAAUUCGUAGAAAUAUUUGUCUUAGAGUGAACAAUGACCAAGCCAGAUUUGACUAAGUCAAAAUUGAAUCACCCACACUACUAUUUUUAUAACUAUAUUUUAUAAUAUUUAGUUUAUAUUGUGUCCAUUCAAAUGUGUAACUAGCAAGAAUAAAUACAUGAAUGUCAAUUAAUUCUUAACAGUUGAUCAUUGAAUGACAUUAUUUCAAUUUAAUUCCUUAUUCAUGUGUGCAAUUAAACCCAAUGAAGAGAAUUAUUCAUUCUCUCUGAUCAACUUUAUGCCUCCUUUAUUAGUCACAUACACCUCUCCUUCUUAGGACACGAUUAACUUGCAGUAGAGGAAAAUAAGUCAUAAUCACUCACACGCCAUUACCAACACUACACUUAUCUCGAAUACUUUCUAAGCCACUCAAAUAACCAUCCUUACAUUCCCUCGCAUUCUGAUCGAAGCUAUAAACUUUUAUUCAUUGGUGAGAUUUUCGAGGACUAUAUAGUGGUACGUGGAAGGAAAACGUCCAAGGUAAGGGCUUUUCCCCAUGCAGAGUUAGGUUAGAUAUUAAAUUAGCGAUUCGUAAGAUAUUGAUAUGAUGUCUGGAUGUAUUAAAAGAAAAAUGUCGAUUUUAUUUUCGUCAUAAAGAAAUUAACUAUCAUGCUUUGAUUGUUUCUUUUGAGUAAUAUCUCUAUUUUGAUGAAAUUAAUUAUAGAAUUAUACUUUAUUACCAUACCUUCAUCAAUAUGUUUGUUGUGAAAACGUUCAAUGCCAUACAUGUUUUAGAGUACUUAAUUAUAAAGUUAUAAUUUUUAUAAUGAUGUAGUCAUUAACAUGUUUAUUAUGAUGUAUUUAAUUUUAAUCCUUGAUUCUUGAGUAUUUAAAUUUUAAAACUUGACUUUUAUGAACAAUAUACGUGUUUUGAUGAAAUUGAUGAAAAGUUUAUUUUUCAUUUACCAAUAUGAGGAAAUUGAUUUUUGAAUGCAUUAAUGAAUAGUUUUCUUUGUGGUUGCCUAAGUGGCUAGCGAUUUGUACAUUUUGAACAUCAUUAUCAUUGUCAUGACAUACCAUAUGCAUCUUUGUGGACGCCUUAGUGGCUGGUUAAAUUUUCCCCAUUGGUAUGGGUGACUUCUGUGUGGACGCCUUAGUGGCUGGCUAUAUCCGGAUCAUGUAUGUUUAGGACAUGCAUAAUUUGCAUACAUUUUAUUGCCAUUAAUAUUUUUAUAUAAUUAUUUAUUCUAAGGUGAGUUACUGCUUGUUGUUUAGAUAUAUUUUAUAAUUUUUGAUACACCUUAUGAAUUAUAAAAAUCAUUUUCUCUAAAUCUUUUAUUACAAAAAGAUUUUAUAUUUAUAUUUUAUGGUUGUUAACUUAUUAUUUGGUCUAAUUUUGCCGUGGGAUGAACUGACCCCUUACACCAACAUUUAGGUACUAUCGAUCUCGAAGAGUUGCAUGAAUGACGUUUGUUUGGCGCACGCGCGUGGGAAAAAGGGGUAUUUUAAUAAAACAAUAAUGAUGCUUGUAGUAAUAAGACCGUUGUGAUACAAUUUUUAAUUUUAUUUAUUUUCAUCGUCGAGGGGUCCUUCCGCUAGGAAAAACUGGAAUUAUUCUAUUUUUAAGUGAACAUUUUCUACAAUUAAUAAAUUGUCUUUAUAAGAAUAAUAAUAUCCCAUAAAUUGCAUGGUAUUAUUUCUUAAAAUGAAAUCAAACUACUUACUAGAGAAAUUUUAUUGAUCAUAUGAUGGACUACUUUUUAAAAAAAAAAAUAUUUAAUGUCGUUUUUGAAAGAAAAUAAAUAUUUUUAAGUAAUGUCUUGGAUCAAAAUCCGGGGCGUUACAAUGUGGUAUCAGAGCACUAAUUUUUGGACAUUGGUGGGAUGGGACGCUUCGUGUAUGUCGCAUGUUUUUCUUGUGAUAUGUUAUUCAUGUUAAUCGUAUAAUCUUCUAAUUAUUUGAGUUUUACUAAGUAUUUAAAUUUCUAUUAUGUGUCGUUGAUUAUGUAACCUUCUUGAAAUUGAAUUCUAUUAAUUACUUAAACUUUUAUUAAGUUAUUAAUUGUGUAACCUUCUUGAAUUUGAAUUUUUAAGAAUUAUUUAAAUUCUUAUUAAGUGUCAUUAAAUAUGUUAAUUGCUUGGUUUUCUAAUUAUUAAAUUUUACUUAAAUUUCUAUUAUGUGUCAUCAAUUGUAUAACCUCCAUGAUUUUGCUAUUAAAUAUAUGUUUUAAAUAUUUGNNNNNNNNNNNNNNNNNNNNNNNNNNNNNNNNNNNNNNNNNNNNNNNNNNNNNNNNNNNNNNNNNNNNNNNNNNNNNNNNNNNNNNNNNNNNNNNNNNNNNNNNNNNNUUUAUUAAUUUUAAACUCUCUACUUCUUUUUAUACUAAGGGUUUGAUUUUCUAACUAUUUUAUGUCAUUAAUGACUUAAAUUUCAAUUAUGUGAAUUUAAUUGUCUAAUUUCUUUAAAAUUAUUAUGAUGAAAAAUAUGUUUUAAAUUCUUGAUCCUAUGAUUAGAAAUAAUUUUAAUCAAGCAAUAAACAUUUAUGAUUGUAUGAUAUUGUGAAUUAUGAGUUUAUUACCACGAUUUAAAAUUAUUUCGAUCUAAAUCACAAAGUAACUGGUGAGCUUUCAUCGUGUGAUCUAAAUGUAUGUAAUUAAAGACAAUGUUCUAAACCCUAUAUUAUGUAUAAUUGUAUGAUCCCCAAAAUAGAAGGGAAGGAUAAUACAAAAAGGUUGUAUUGGAGGGAUUCUGGCUAAGGAAAGACUUGGUUAUUAAGUGGUCCAUUGACCCACCUCUCUUUCCUGGUAACCCCUCCAAAGAAAUGCAAGAAAAUGGAGCAGAUGAAACAGAGCCGCCUGAAUAGGGGUGCUAUAGGUGGACCCAUCAGACCUCAGGGGCAUAACGACCAACAGAAUAGGGGCAGGCAUCAUCAAAAACACAAGCCAUAUGCCCGACCACUAGGGAAUGCUAGAGAUCAACCUCGACCUCAAAACAGGGAAGGUCAAGGGCCAAAAGUUCCAGGUCAGAACCAGGCGUACCCUGUUAAGUGUUUUCGCUGCAAUAGAGAAGGACAUAAGAUAUCUGAGUGUCCAAUCAGACCAAGGGUUUGUUACAUUUGUCAGAAACCAGACCAUUUUGCAAAUGAAUGCCCUGAUCGGAAGGACGAUAGAGCUGUCAACCGCAACAAUGUCAACGACAAUGUUGUACGCCCUACUGCCAAGGGACGUGUCUACCACAUCAAUGGAGAGGAAACUCCAUCUUCCUCUGAACUUAUCCAAGGUGAGUGUUUAAUUGCUGGAAAAUCACAUAAUGUAAUUUAUGAUUCGGGGGCAACACACUCAUUCAUUUCAUUGGAUUGGUUGGAUUCGCUCCAACUUACUGUUACUACUUUGCCGUUUGAUUUGGUGGUUACCCUACCUUCUACCGAAUCGGUGAAAUGUAAUACGGCUUGCUUGCAAUGUCCGUUGAUUGUGUUUGAUAUGAGAUUCAAUGUUGAUUUGAUUUAUAUUCCCCUUAAGCAUGUGGGAGUGAUAAAGGUAGAUUAAUGCAAUGUACUAAAAUCAAUGACUAAAAGUUCUUAAACCUCUGAAAUUGGGUAAAUAAUGAUAUUGUUAGAUUGAACGUAUUUGUGUGGGUUAAUUAUGAUAAAAUUUAUUAUCUCUUCUGAAAUUAAAAAAAUCAAUGAGUAAAAAUAAUUAGAAUAAAAAAAUUUAAUAUAGUCUACUUUAUAGAUUAUUAUUAUUAUUUACUCAUGUAAAUAAUAUUAGUUUGUCUCUUUACAAUAUUUCUUUUGUUCUAUGUAUCAUAUGAGAAUGUUCUUUUGUACUAUGAUCCAUAUUUUUUUUUGUUUGAUCAAAACAAUGAUCCUUCUUUCAUUUAUGUGUAAUUGUUAUGUUGGAAUGUCCUUAGCUCCUUAAUCAAUGAGACUUAAUAAAACCGGUGAUCAACACUUUCGUGUUGAAGAUGAUGAACUUAUUUACAAAUGAGUAUGUUUCAAAAACUUAAUUAAGUUUCACAGAAACCUGUGUUAUGAUUAAUACGCAAAGAAGACACAUUAAAUUACUUAAAAAAAUCAUAAUUAAUCAUAUCUUUAUGUAAUUAAAAUUUAUUAGCAUUAACAAUAACAACUAAGGGAGGUGAGAGAGAACCAAACACAAUUUGAUGCUGAAUAACUUUUUUCUUAUUUCUAAAUAACAUUAACAUUGGAAGAGGAUAAAUCUAAAUUUGAUGCGGAAGAAAAGGUUUUCCUUAAGAAAGAAAAACAAAUGGUGGUGCUCCAACGAUUUUGCAAAAAUAUGAAAACACUACGCCAAAAAUGACAUUUAACAGCGCCCAUUUUACAGCGCUUGCUAAACACAAGCGCUGUUGUAAUUAUAUUUUAAAAAUAACGGAACCUAUUACAGCGCUUUUGAUUCAAAGCGCUGUAAAACAAGCGCUGUAGUAGGUCAUAUAACGUUUGCGCAUCACGUUAUAAGGCUUUUACAGCGCUUGUAAAAAAAGCGCUGUAAAAGGAAGCGCUUUCGCGUAUCAGUUACAGCGCUUUUUUCACAAGCGCUGUAAAACACAUGCGCUUUCAUUGAAUUUAACUACCUAUUACAGCGCUUUUUUCACAAGCGCUGUAAAAUACAUGCGCUUUCAUUGAAUUUAACUACAUAACCCUCAUAUCCUCUACAUCUUUCAAAAAAAUACAUCUUUCAAAUAAUUAUAUACGUUGCGAACCCUAAUAUCCUCUACGUACUGUGCGGCCAUCUACGUUGUCUAAGGUAUUUUUUACACAUGAUCUGUUCUGUUUUGAAAUUUUUAGUUGAUAUUGGUUUCUUUUUGAAACUUGUUGAUAUGUUUUGAAAGCUUAUUAUUUUUGUUACUGCAUUUAUAUAGGUGGUAUAAUAUGGAUAGGAAAUGGAUUUCAGCCAAUCGAUUGUCAAAAGAGUAUGAAAUUGGAGUGAAGGAGUUUGUUGAGUUUGCAGUGAAGAAUGCAAAAGAUCCAAAUAGAGUAGUUUGUCCUUGUUUAAAAUGUUGUUUUGGAAAACGUGUUAGAGAAGAUGAAUUAGAAGGACAUCUAGUAUGUAAUGGAAUUGAUCAAAGCUACACAUGUUGGAUAAGACAUGGUGAGAAAAAAAAAGGAAACAUUAAUUUUGAGAAUAGUUCGACAUAUGCUUCAACUGACUUCGAUACAGAUACAUAUGAGCCGGACCGAGUUGAUGAGAUUGCAAAAGCAGUUGAAGAAGAUCUUCGAGAUUGUCCUAAAAUGUUUGAAAGUUUGUUGAGUGAUGCAGAGAAAGAAUUAUAUAAUGGUUGUACUAAAUUCACAAGACUGUCAGCGAUAUUAAAGUUGUACAACUUAAAAGCGAGUAAUGGAUGGUCUGAUAAAAGCUUUACAGAAUUAUUAACACUCAUAAAAGAUAUGUUGCCAGAUGAUAAUGAACUUCCCAGUCGAACCUACGAGGCUAAACGGAUUUUGUGUUCUAUUGGAAUGAGUUACGAAAGGAUUCAUGCGUGUCCUAACGAUUGCAUUUUAUUUCGAAACGAAUAUGAACUACUUAAGGCGUGUCCGAAAUGCAAUGUCUCUCGAUAUAAGAAGAAAGAAUCUACUCCAGCAAAAGUCGUGUGGUAUUUUCCUAUAAUACCAAGAUUUAGGCGCAUGUAUCGCAGUGAAGAAGAUUCAAAACACUUGACAUGGCAUGCAGAUGAAAGAAUUAGAGAUGGAAUGUUUCGACACCCUGCAGAUUCCCCACAAUGGGCAAAAAUUGAUCACGAGUAUCCUGAAUUCGGGAUAGAGUCAAGAAAUCUAAGACUUGCACUUUCUACUGAUGGAAUGAAUCCACAUGGUCUUCAAAGCAUCUCACAUAGCACGUGGCCUGUGAUUUUGGUAAUAUAUAACCUACCUCCAUGGUUAUGUAUGAAGCGUAAGUUUAUGAUGUUGUCUCUGUUAAUUUCUGGACCCAAACAACCGGGGAAUGAUAUCGACGUAUACUUGACUCCUCUAAUCGAAAAUUUAAAAAGUAUGUGGGAGACAGGUGUGGAAGUUUAUGAUGGGUAUAAGAAAGAAUGUUUCAAUUUGAGGGCUAUGUUGUUCGGCACAAUUAAUGAUUUUCCAGCAUAUGGUAAUUUAUCAGGAUAUAGCAUUAAAGGUCAGUGUGCAUGUCCUAUAUGUGAAGAGAGUACAAAUUGGAUGCGGUUGAAACAUUGUAAGAAGAAUGUGUUUCUUGGACAUCGUAGAUUUUUACCUUAUAGUCAUCAGUAUCGUGGGUGGAGAAAUGCAUUCAAUGGAAAAUCAGAGGAAGGUAAAGCUCCUUUAGCACCGACUGGAUAUCAAAUACUUGAAAAAGUACAAGGUUUGACCAAUAAAUUUGGCAAACCUUUUGCGGGAGAGCUGGUGAAAACUGGGUGGAAGAAAAAGUCAAUUUUCUUUGAAUUGCCAUAUUGGAAGUCAUUGUAUGUAAGACAUUUCCUCGAUGUGAUGCAUAUUGAGAAAAAUGUAUUUGAAAGUGUUAUUGGUACGUUACUCAAUGUUCCAGGAAAGUCUAAAGAUGGCGUCAAUGCAAGAUUGGACUUGGUCGAUAUGGGAAUAAGAAAUGAACUGGCUCCAGUAAAGAAAGGAAAUCGCACAUAUCUACCUCCAGCCGCUCAUACUCUAUCUAGAAAGGAAAAAAUUGUUUUAUGUAAAUUUCUACACGAAGUUAAAGUUCCAGAAGGAUACUCUUCGAACAUUAAAAAUUUGGUUUGUAUGAAAGACCUCAAGUUAAAAGGUUUGAAGACCCAUGAUUGUCAUAUUAUAAUGGAGCAUUUGCUACCAAUAGGUAUACGUUCCAUUUUACCUGAAAAAGUUCGACUAGCCUUAACUAGAUUAUGUUUCUUCUUCAGGGAAAUUUGUAGUAAAGUGAUCGACCCUCAGAAAUUACCGACAUUGCAGAGGGAAAUUGUUGUUACUUUGUGUGAGCUUGAAAUGUAUUUCCCACCAUCGUUUUUUGAUAUAAUGGUUCACCUUACUGUUCAUCUGGUUAAGGAGACACAACUUUGUGGGCCAGCUUAUAUGAGAUGGAUGUAUCCGAUAGAACGAUAUAUGAAAAUAUUAAAAGGGUACGUAAAAAGUAGAAGUCGACCAGAAGGUUGUAUUGCUGAACGAUACAUUGUUGAAGAGGCUGCUGAAUUUUGUACUGAAUAUCUGUCCAAUGUUGAAUCCAUAGGGCUUCCCAUGUCUCGUCAUUCGGGAAGACUAUCAGGAGAAGGGAUAACUGGAAGGAGACUACUGACUAUAUCAAGGACAGAAUGGGAGCAGGCACAAUUGUAUGUUCUGCACAAUGAUGAUGAGGUUCAACCGUAUGUUACAAUACACAUUGAUCAGUUAUCUCGUUUGAACAUGAAUAGGAAUCAAAAUUGGAUAACUCGAGAGCACAAUCGAAGUUUUGUAACAUGGUUAAAAAAUCACAUAAUGUCAAAAUUUGAUAUAGACCCCGGAUCAAUUUCAAAUAGAUUGAGGUGGCUAGCAAAUGGUCCGAGCUUACAUGUCUUUUCUUACACUGGUUAUGUUAUUAACGGCUACACAUUUUAUACCAAAGAACAAGAUGAUCAGACCACUAUGCAAAAUAGUGGAGUCACUCUCGUAGCUGAAGCGAUGCAUGUCUCAAGUGCAAAAGACAAAAACCCAAUAUAUGCAAAUCUAUCAUAUUUUGGGGUUAUCGAGCGCAUAUGGGAGUUAGACUACACAAUGUUUCGUGUUCCCAUAUUUGGUUGCAAGUGGGUCGAUAAUAAUAAUGGCGUUCGGAUUGAUGAGUCAGGAUUCUUGCUUGUCGAUUUUAAUAGGGUGGGAUACAAAGACGAGCCUUUUAUUUUAGCGUCGCAAGCUCAACAAGUGUUUUAUGUCACUGAUCCUUCUAAUGAUAAAUGGUCUGUUGUCCUAUCGACCAAUAAAAUAAGUGAUGAUAACAAUAAUGAUGAAGAUGUUGGUAAUGAUCUUUUAUUUGCAACAUCACAACAACCACAUGAAAUUGAUUCAACUGAUGAUGGUUUAUAUCUUAGAGAUGAUCAUGAUGAGGGAAUUUGGAUUAAUCCAUCGUUUCGUAUUGUAAAUGGACAAACAAAUGUGAAUGUCACCAGGAAAAGAAGAAGGGCAUCUUAAUGUAUAUAUAUGUUUAAUUGUUUUAUAUAAGCUAUGCAUGUAAUCUGAACUGUGUUAUUGUAAAUAUGCAUGUAAUCUGAAUUGAGUGUUUUAUACUAAGUUCUGAUUAAUUUAUUUUCUGAUUAAUUUAUUUUCUGCUUAUAUUUAGCUUGAUUUGAGUGUUUUAUACCAAGUUCAUGUAACAAUGAGUGUUUUAUAUUUAGCUUGAUUUACAUGAACUGAACUGAAUAUAAAUUAGUAAUUUACAUGAACUGAACUGAACUGAAUAGAGAGAUUCUCUUUUGCUCAGUGCAUAUAUAUAUAUAGAUUCUUCAGAAUACUCAUUUCUAAUAAUUCAUCAUCUCCUAAAGUAUUGUGAUAAAGACAAUGAUAACAAUAUUUUUAAUCCAAUAAACAAUGAUAAAAAUGUUUUUAAUGUCAUCCCAACCCAAAUAAACCAAACACAAAAAUAAAAUAAAGAGACAUUUUACAGCGCUUAUCUUAAAAAGCGCUGUAAAAGAUCCUUUUAAAAAUAAAAUAAUGAGUGUUUUAUACCUUUUACAGCGCUUUUCACACAAAGCGCUGUAAACGACUCUUUUGAAAGUGAGUAAAAAAGACAUUUUACAGCGCUUAUUUGACAAAGCGCUGUAAAAAAGCUUUAAAAAUAAUAUUCAUCAGACACCUAAUUUCUUCAAACACCUUGUACGCAUCAUGGGAAUCCAAAAAACAUCAGACACAAACCCAUUUCUUCAAACACCUUGUACGCAUCAUGGGAAUCCAAAAAACAUCAGACACAAACCCAUUUCUUCAAACACCUUGUACGCAUCAUGGGAAUCCCCAAAAACACCAGACACAAACCCAUUUUUCGCAACAUGGCAAUGAUCCUGAAUACCAAUUAAGUUUCGAUUUAAGAAGGAAAGAGAAUGUAAAGAGAUAAAAAGGGUGUUGAGGUGGAGAUUGAAUUGUGAAAGAGUAAGCUUUGAUGUUUGUGAAGAAGAUGCAUAAAAGGAGAAGAGUUUGGUGAAGAGGAAGGGAUUUUUGUGGUGACCAGUUACUACUAUGUGGGUUUUGCAUGCAUGUUGAGCUUGUUUAAAAAAUAACAUAACAUAACAAAACACAAAAACAAUAAGGCCUUUUACAGCGCUUAUUUGGAAAAAGCGCUGUAAAAGAGCCUUUUAAAAUUAACAUAAAGAGACAUUUUAGAGCGCUUAUGUGGAAAAGCGCUGUAAAAGGCUUUAAAAAACAUUCAUAUAACAUAAUAACACACGGAGGUCUUUUACAGCGCUUAUUUGGGAAAAGCGCUGUAAAAGAGCCUCUUAAAAUUAACAUAAAGAGACAUUUUAGAGCGCUUAUGUGUAAAAGCGCUGUAAAAGGCAUUCAAAUAACAUAAUAACACACGGAGGUCUUUUACAGCGCUUAUUUGAAAAAAGCGCUGUAAAAGAGCCUUUUAAAAAUUUAACUAAAGAAGCCUUUUAGAGCGCUUAUGUGUGAAAGCGCUGUAAAAGGCAUUCAUAUAACAUAAUAACACACGGAGGUCUUUUACAGCGCUUAUUUGAAAAAAGCGCUGUAAAAGAGCCUUUUAAAAAUUUAACUAAAGAAGCCUUUUAGAGCGCUUAUGUGUGAAAGCGCUGUAAAAGGCAUUCAUAUAACAUAAUAACACACGGAGGUCUUUUACAGCGCUUAUUUGAAAAAAGCGCUGUAAAAGGCAUUCAAAUAACAUAAUAACACACGGAGGUCUUUUACAGCGCUUAUUUGAAAAAAGCGCUGUAAAAGGCAUUCAAAUAACAUAAUAACACACGGAGGUCUUUUACAGCGCUUAUUUGAAAAAAGCGCUGUAAAAGAGCCUUUUAAAAAUUUAACUAAAGAAGCCUUUUAGAGCGCUUUACAAAAUAAGCGCUGUAAAAGGCUUAUAAAAAGCGCUGUAAAAGUGUUACGUAUAUAUAACAGUUACCUCUUCAGUUUCCUCUUCAUUACGUAACCUUCAUCUCAACCUUCAUUUCUUCUCUUCUUUUGCAAACCCUAUCAUCCCGUCCUUUACGAACCUUAUUUCCACGAUCAUCUCCUUCAUUUCGAACCUUAUUUCCAUCCAAGAUCAUCUCUCCCAUUUCACACAAUAUAUUUUCAUUGAAAUACGUAACCCUCAUUACGUAUUUCUUCAAACCGUAUUUCUGUGAACCAUAUUUCUGUGAACUUUCUGCAAACCCUCUUUUCUUUGCAUUUCGUCUUUCUUCGAACCAUCAUUAUUCAGGUAUUGAUGUUAUUAAAUUUUUGUAAUCAUUAGAAUGCAUGUUGAGCUUUUUUAAGAUAUACUGAUACAUGUUGAGUUUGUUUAUAAUAAUGCAUGAUCCAUGUUGAGCUUGUUGAUGUUAUACUAAAGUGCAUGUUGAACUUGUUGUAGUUAAAUGGAUACAAACAAAGAUUUAGAAGUUCAAAAUGAAGAAGUUGGCACCUCUAAGACUUACGAAAAAGAAGUCAAACGUGGUGCAACUAUCAUGCAAAGGGUGAUUAAAGCACGGAGCAGUGGCAUUAAAUUUGAGGUAUACUAUAUAUACUCUGUUUGCUGUGUGUUUUUUUAUCUUUUUUUAGGGUUUAGGGCAUGUACUUACUAUAUGAGUUUAUUAGGUUGGCUGGAACGAGAGUGGUCAGCCAGUUGACCCCAACAGCUCCAUGUUUGUAAGCUACAUUGGGGCUGUUGUUCGUCAAAAUGUCCCAAUAACAAUAGACAACUGGAGAGAUAAGGCGUUGAAGGAUGCCAAAGAUAUCAUCUGGAAUGACAUUCAAGUAAAUAUUUUGAUCUACUCUUUUGUCAUUUAUAAUUUUUUUUCUGUAAAAUACAUUACUUAUAAUUGUUUUCAUUGCAGACCACUUUUGUUCUUGAUGAGGAACGAAAGUCAUAUGUUUUGAGAGUUGCUGGGAAAAUCCAUCGUGGAUUUAGAUCCCAUCUCUCAAAUUUCUAUCUAAAAGAUAGAGAAGGAAACACAAAUGCUGAACCUCCAAAGAUAUAUCAACAUUAUAUAUCAAAGGAUGAAUGGAGUGCAUUUGUUUCCAAACGUUCUGACCCGGCGUUUGUCGUAAGUGAUUAAUUUAUUAGCAUUUGUGUUUUAUUAUUCAUAUUCGUAGCGUAUUUUAAAUUUUUACACAAUUGCUAUUUUUUUUUUAUAUAGAAUAUUAGUAAGGCAAAUCGCGAACGGGCAAGCAACCCAAAACACCCAUACAAGAAAUCACGUAUGGGAUAUGCACGCCUUGAACAAAAAAUUGUAAGUAAUUAAACAUCACUUGUAAUUUGUAUUAUAAACUAUAGUGUGUAACUAAUUUGUAUUAUUUUGUUUAUGAUUUUAACGAAUAGAGAAAAGACACCCAAGCCGAUCAACCCUUGGGUCGUCAUAUCUUAUGGAAGGAAGCGCGUGUUAACAAAGAAGGAGUGGUUGAUAAUGAAAAUGUCAAGAAAGUUGUAGAACUUUGUGUAAGUAUAUUAUCACUUUAAUAUUUUUUAAUAUUGUAUUUUAAAAAUGCUAUUGAACUUAUCUUUUUAAUGUUACAUGUAUUUUAGGAAACUAUUGAACAAAGUUCUGAAACUCAAGAGGGCAACAAGGAUACGUGCAGGGACAUUCUUGGGAAAGUGUUUAAUGUCCCUGAGUAUUCCGGUCGAGUGAGGGGGAAAGGAUUUGGCGUAACUCCCAAAAGCUUUUUUCCUCAAGAGAAGCGCCAAAAACCUUCCAACGAGGAAGUAUUAGAGAAGCUCAGAAUCUUAUCGGAGCAAGUGGCACUCUUGGUGAAUACGAAUAAAGACAAGCAACUUCCGGUUCAGCUCCAACCUGAAAUACAAAUGGAGAGUGAAACCGGGAGUUGCAACGUCGGUUUGAAGAGUAUUCCCGAGGUAAUUAAUUACUUACUACUUACUUGCUUAUGUAAUUACUUAUGUAUUAAACAAACUUAUAUAUUAACUGUACUUAUGUUUUAACUAUUGAUGUAGGGUGUCACUACAUGUGUCCUAUACUUGUCCUCGCCGACUCAACGGAAGGUGGGAAAAGGAAUAUUGCACAAUACUUCGGGAGAAGUAUUGCACAAUAUUCCGAUCCCCGCGGGCCAUGUCAAAGUAUCGCCUACGGUUGCUUUCGAACCAACUGCACCGUUGCCCAUACCGGACAACGAUGGAGAUAUGAAGUUCUUAAGCGACGCUAUUGGCAGUUACGUGGCAUGGCCCACACACCUUGUUGCCCUCGAAAAAAAGAUUCCCAAGGACAAAUCAGUUACAUCUCCCGAAAAGGUUUGUCACAUUUAUUGCCUAAGGUUUUUUAUUUUUUCAGAUUCAAUAAACUAACAUUUUACCUCAUUUUUGUAGGUCCAAAUAAAUAAACCACCCCUACAGCCAAAAAAAGGCAGCAGACCUCAAAAAUUGGAGGUUAAUAGGGCUGCCAAACUACAAAGGCUGGAGGGUAAUAAAGCUGCAAAACUUGCAGCAACAAAAAAUCUGGAUCGGGGAAAAUCGGUCGCUGCUGCUGCUGCUCCUAAUAAAAGUCAGCCACGCCUUGGUAAAUACGGGGCGUGUCUUGACAUCCAAAUAAAAAGGAACAUGGGCAGCAGCAACGAUUCGCCCAUUGUACAAAUGAAUCAAGACAUCUUUGGAGAUGAGUAUAUUGAAUACCUCGAAAAGGAGCAAAUGUACGAUCUUCUCGAACAUAAGGAGCUGAGUGUUACUGUAAUCAGCUUGUACAUAAGGUAAAAAAUACUUUUAAUUGCAUUUAUUUGUAAUUAAUUAAAUGUAUUGGUAAUUAAUCUAGUUUAAAAUUUUCAUUGAAGGUUUUUGUACGAGAAGGUCGUGUGCACGAGGAAACUGUCAAAUAAAUACUCAUUCUUGUCUCCGCAUAAGAUGUCGAUGUUCAAACUCGAUCCAGACAAUGUAAAACACUACAUUGUAGAUAUGUUUUUAAGAAAUAAAGAAAGUGAUAAAUUGUUCUUGGCACCAUAUAAUUCAGGGUACGUAAUUUUAUCUUUUUUAAUUGAUGAGAAUUUAAUUUAUUAGUUGUCUAUAAACAAAAUUGCUUAACCAAUUUUUUGUUGUUGUAGGGCACAUUGGGUGCUAUUUGCAAUCAAUGCGGUCUCUGAAGUGAUAUACUAUUUGGAUCCCGUGCACGGCGAUUACACCAAUCACCCCGGAAUAAAGAAUAUGCUCGACACGUAAGUAAUAUUCAUUUAUUUCUUACAUAUAUAUAUUUAUAUAUAUAUAUAUAUAAAUAUAUAUAUGUAAGAAAUAAAUGAAUAUUACUUACGUGUCGAGCAUAUUCUUUAUUCCGGGGUGAUUGGUGUAAUCGCCGUGCACGGGAUCCAAAUAGUAUAUCACUUCAGAGACCGCAUUGAUUGCAAAUAGCACCCAAUGUGCCCUACAACAACAAAAAAUUGGUUAAGCAAUUUUGUUUAUAGACAACUAAUAAAUUAAAUUCUCAUCAAUUAAAAAAGAUAAAAUUACGUACCCUGAAUUAUAUGGUGCCAAGAACAAUUUAUCACUUUCUUUAUUUCUUAAAAACAUAUCUACAAUGUAGUGUUUUACAUUGUCUGGAUCGAGUUUGAACAUCGACAUCUUAUGCGGAGACAAGAAUGAGUAUUUAUUUGACAGUUUCCUCGUGCACACGACCUUCUCGUACAAAAACCUUCAAUGAAAAUUUUAAACUAGAUUAAUUACCAAUACAUUUAAUUAAUUACAAAUAAAUGCAAUUAAAAGUAUUUUUUACCUUAUGUACAAGCUGAUUACAGUAACACUCAGCUCCUUAUGUUCGAGAAGAUCGUACAUUUGCUCCUUUUCGAGGUACUCAAUAUACUCAUCUCCAAAGAUGUCUUGAUUCAUUUGUACAAUGGGCGAAUCGUUGCUGCUGCCCAUGUUCCUUUUUAUUUGGAUGUCAAGACACGCCCCGUAUUUACCAAGGCGUGGCUGACUUUUAUUAGGAGCAGCAGCAGCAGCGACCGAUUUUCCCCGAUCCAGAUUUUUUGUUGCUGCAAGUUUUGCAGCUUUAUUACCCUCCAGCCUUUGUAGUUUGGCAGCCCUAUUAACCUCCAAUUUUUGAGGUCUGCUGCCUUUUUUUGGCUGUAGGGGUGGUUUAUUUAUUUGGACCUACAAAAAUGAGGUAAAAUGUUAGUUUAUUGAAUCUGAAAAAAUAAAAAACCUUAGGCAAUAAAUGUGACAAACCUUUUCGGGAGAUGUAACUGAUUUGUCCUUGGGAAUCUUUUUUUCGAGGGCAACAAGGUGUGUGGGCCAUGCCACGUAACUGCCAAUAGCGUCGCUUAAGAACUUCAUAUCUCCAUCGUUGUCCGGUAUGGGCAACGGUGCAGUUGGUUCGAAAGCAACCGUAGGCGAUACUUUGACAUGGCCCGCGGGGAUCGGAAUAUUGUGCAAUACUUCUCCCUGUAAUAUGCCCAACCAUAAUUUCAAUUAUGGGUGGGCAUAUUACAGCGCUUUUGUGAGAAAGCGCUGUAAUAUGCCCACCCAUAUAUGAAAUUAUGGUUGGGCAUAUUAGAGCGCUUUUUUGAGAAAGCGCUGUAAAAUGCACACCCAUAACUCAUAUAAUGGGGUGCAUAUUACAGCGCUUUUUGUGAAGAAGCGCUGUAAAAUGUGCAUAACAAGCGCGCGUUGUAUUUACAUGUUUUAUAGCGUUUUUUUAAAAGCACUGUUGUAUCAUUUACAGCGCUCGUUUCCACAACGCUUAUUUUUUUGAAAAAGCGUUGUAAAUGGCUUAAAAAAAGCGCUGUAAUAUGCGUUUUUUCGCGUAGUGAAACAAAGAGGCAUCACAUAAUAGAAGAAGAAUCACAUAAUAGAAGAAGAGGCUGUCUGGAAGGAAAUGGUGGAUGAGAACUACUAUGAUCAAGAAUGUGUAAAAGAAGAGGAGAUAGUAACUAUUUUUUCCACUUUUUUCUUUUAGUUUAAUUUUAAUACGGAGAGGACUUUGUUUUAUUUUUGUGACUCUAUUAAACUAUCCGUGUUUAAUCAUGUAUUGUGAGUCACAAUAGAUAUACUCCAUAAAUCAUCUAUCUACUUUUUGUUAGGAUUUAAUCGUUGGAAUUUGGCGAGACAGUUAAAACUGACGUAAGCGUACAAGUUAUGCAUUAAAUAAUGAAUAUCAUGUUUCGGAUGAAUUCAAGUUCCAAUGGAUUCAAUUUUGACAUCCGUAACCGACUCAUAAAAACUUGAUUUCUUCUGUUUUUUAACUCGAGAUCCAAUUCAAGUUGCCUAUUUUUUCAAUAUUCGGAUCAGAUUAUUCGGAUCACGGGUUUUUGUCCAACCCUAUUUAACACCAACUAAUAGGGUAGUAGUGGUUAUAGAUUUAACUUGCAACUAAUCAUUAUAAAAACUUCAGACUCAAAGUGCAAAUAUGCUGAGUAAGGAUGUCCUACUCUCUAAAACUUUCUCACAUUUAUUCCUCUAAAGAUUUUCCACAUCUUAGAAAAGGCAAUUAUGUCCGUGUUUUUCGUCUAUUUAAAUAAUCUUAAAUAAAUUCUAGUUUUUAAAUAAAUUUAAUUCAUGAUUAAAACAAUUACACACAAAUAUGUUUUUGUGUGAUAUUGCAAUAUUCAAAUCAUUUUAAAUUUAUUUUAAUGUAUGGAUUUAAUUUAUUUAAAAAGUUAUGUCAAAAUUAAAUUUUAAUUUAAAAUAAUUUAUGUAGAUGAUAAUUUAUCAUGUCCAUUGCACAUACUCACACAAUAGUUAUAAGAAAAGAAAGAAUGGGAAUGGAGGAAAAAAAAACAGAAAAUAAAGUGGUUUUUUAGUUAUUGUUUUGAGAUAGAGAAAAUAAAAGGAAAAUGAUUAAAAUAAUUAUAUUUUUUAAUUUGAUUGGAAAAUACAUCAAAAGAAAUAUAUUAUGAUAUAACAUAAUUGUUAAUAUUACAUUUGUUAAUAUUACAUUUGUUAAUAUUAAAUUUGUUAAUUUGUAAAUUAAAGAAGAAACAGAGAAAAUAAAAUGAAUUUUUUUUUAAUUAUCAGUAAUAGAGAAAAUAGAAAAAGGUUAAAUAUUUUCUUUUUAAUUAAUAUUCCUUUUUUUAAAACACAUUAGGGAUUAGUUUUAAUAUCUUCCUACCUUGAACUUAGCACCAUUGACAGUUAUUGUUGGCAUAGAUAUAAAUGUAUAUCUUUUUGUAAGUAAUCUAAGUCAUAUGGUUUUUUUUUUACCUUAGACUGAGGUAUCAUCCUCUCACCUUAAAUUUAUUUUUAAAAAAAAUGAGAGAAAGAAGAGUAUUCUAUUAGGAAUGGAAAAUUUGGGGCAGAGUAAACUAACUUAGGUGGUGGAGUCGAAAAUACCACUUUGUCAAUACUGUCAAAUUUUUAUAUUUUAUUUUUACAUUUUACUAAAAAUAAUGACAACAACAUAGUUAGUUUAUUACGAUUGUUCUCAUGUUUAUGUCAACGACAUUAAAAGAACAUUAAUUUUAAAUUUUUUAGUAACAAAUAUUUGUCUAAUGUAAGCUUUUUAUGAUAAAAAAUAAUAAAUAUAUUUUAAUUAUUCUCUUUUUAUUUAAAAGAUAUUAAAAAAAUAUUAAAGUUAAUUAAUGCAUAAAAAAUAUUUAUAUAUGUAUAAAUUAUAUACGUCAAUUGUUUUUUAUUGACUCACUUUCAGUAAUGAAAAAUAUAUGUAACAAACUAUCAAUACAAAUUAAACUUAUAAUAAGUAAAUUUAUAUUAUGUAAUUUAAAAAAAAUUACAUAUAUAACAAACUAUCAAUAAUUAAAAUUAUCAACAAAAAAUAUAUAAGUAAAUUAUCAAUAAGUUGAUAGCUAUAUUCUAAAGCAAAGCGUUUCAUACACUAGUCUUUUUUUAGUUGGUUAAGUUAAUGGAUCAAUUUUAAUCAUUUAGUUUGAUUGAGUUAAUAAAAAAAUUGGAGAAAAAUCAUUUAAAAUUACAUUUUUUUUAUAUAAAAAAAUAAUAACUUUUUAUUUGGCUCGAUGUGCCAAAUAGCCCCGCUAUAUGACCACUCAUUUUUUUUAGCAGAUUAUAUAGAACAGACCAACUUAAAUAUGUGAGUUGAAAUUUACUUUCAUCCCGACCUACUUAAAAUAGAUCGGUCCUAAAAGUUGACCAAUUUAUCCACCCCUAUAUACUAAUAUAUGAACUGCAUUUCUUGAACUUUAAUAAUUUUACUGGAAUAAAUUAAGAAAAAAAAAGUGAUAUGUAUAUUAUAAUAAACACAAUACAUAUCAUAAUUGUUUAUGUUAUGUAACUCAAUUUGGCAUACUUGAGGAAAAAAAACUAGUCCACCCAAGUUCUUACGCUAUAAAAAUUUAAAUUUAAUUAAAAUAUUUAAUAUCUCAUGUAAUUUUUUUAUUUAAUUUCAAAUGACAAUUCAAUUAUUUUUUUUUUCUUCUUUAAUUUGACUUUUAUUUAAUUUUAAAUAGCAUGAAUAGAUGGUCAGCCCUUAGUUCUAAAAAAUAUCUAUAUUUUGCUGUCAAAUGAAUCCUUUCAUUCCCUUCCAACUGCUUUUUUAAUUGGUUUCUUAGCUCUAAAAAGUAUCUAUAUUUUUUCAUUCCCUUCCACCUACUUUUUUAAAAAAGCAAAAUGUUAAUCCAUCUAUAUCUAUAUUUAAUCUUUCCUUAUCUAUAUUUAUAUUUAAUCUUUCCUAAAAAAUAUUUUAAAAUAUUAAUCCUAAAAAGUAUCUAUAUUUUAAAAAAAAAACAUUUCUUAAAUCUUAAAAUUUUUCAUAUUUUCACAAAUCAAAUGAGACAUAAGUUUUCUAGAAGAUUUUAUUAUAAUUAUAUAAAUGUUAAUCAUUCUACGUCAUCGUAUUAUAUGACACAUGAUUUAAAAUACGUCACAUCAUAAUUUUUUAAUUUAAAAGUCAGAAUAAGACACAAACUGUUAUAUUUUAAAAUAGAGGAUCAAUUUUAUGAGCCGAUAAAAAUAAAGAGACUAAAACUGCAAUUAAGUCUAAAUUUUUUCAUAGACUAAAAUAUGUAUUCACUCUCAAUAUAAUUGUAAUUAUUUUAAUUUAAAAUAUAAAAUAGAGACUCAUUUUAUUGUUUGAGAAAAAUCUUGACAUCCAAUUUAGUAUUUGAAAAAAAUAAAGAUAAUAUUAGCCUCCGAAAAAAUCAAACCGAAACAAUUUAAUUCUACAUUUUUUAUACUUUAUUUGAUCGAAGAAAAAAAGUGAAAAGAAAAAAAAAAUGAAUUAAAAAUAAUUUAACUAUUUAAUAGUUUGAUAUAAUAAAAAAUAAUUAAAAAUAAUGAUAAAAAAUUAUGUUUCUAUAAAAUGACAGAAAUACUUUUAAGGAAAAAAAUUGAUUUGAUUAAAAAGAAAAGAUAAAUAUUAUAAAAGAAAUGAUUUAAGUUAUAUACAACAAUAAAAGUCUUUUAGUCAAUCACAUUCAUUAUAACUUUAUUCAAAAGUUAUGUUAAAAAGAAAAACUAAAUAUACAAAUCGAUCUCUAAAAUUGUAAAAAUCCAUCAAAUAAUCAAUAAAUUUUGUAAAUUAUCAAAUACAUCAUUCAUAGUCAUACUAUAGAAAAUCGAUGAAAAUAGUCUGGUAAAACCUUUAACUUAAAUAUUUUGACAUAAAAUACGUACUUUUUAGUGUAGGACAUAAUUGAAGAAAUGUUAGAUAAAGAAAAAGGAUGGAAGCAGCACGUGAGAAGACGGAAAAGGAAGAACAAAUAAACCAACAAAUCACGACGUUUGGUCUUAAAACGCUAGGAUCAAUACUCUUACUGCAGGCGUAGAAAAUUAAGCUAACCACCGCGUGUGUGUUCCUUAGCUAUAUAAAUCGAUAAUACAACAACAAUACAUUCUUUUUGCUCCUCUCUCAAUUCCCACUUUCACACAACAACCAAAAACCAGAAAUGGAUUUUCACAAGAUUAGCGUUGCUAAUCCCAUCGUCGAAAUGGACGGUAUGUUUUUAUCUAUUUUUAUAUGUUUCGGAGUUGUUGAUUACAAUUUUGAUUUUCAUUCUAGAAUUGAUUUUAACUUCAACCUUUGAUUUGUAAUUUUUGUUCAACUCAUAUGUAUCUUGUGAAAAUUAGUUGAUGUUUACUGUGCCUGGUGGUUAGUAUGUAUAUCUGAACAGAAAUCAUCAUUUCGUUGAUUUUCAAUUUCUUUCUCUGAGUAAUCAAUCUUUGAUUGUUUUCCACAUGCAGGAGAUGAAAUGACAAGAGUAAUUUGGAGAAUGAUAAAAGAUAAGGUAGUUAUGUUAUUUUUUCUUGCACUAUAUUAUUGAAUCAGACAUGCUUAUUGAUAGCAGAAAAGAGGAUUGAGAGAAGAGUGAAAUUGCUAUUUGAUUGAAUGAGUAAAUUUUUAAUUAUAUUAAGCUGGCAUUGACAAACUAGUUAUUACUAAUCUAACUAUCAACAUACUUAUCUCCAACUAACUAUAUCUCUAAUACUUUUUAUUUUAAAUUUUAUUUUUACAUUUUGCAGCUUAUUCUCCCUUUUCUGGAGCUGGAUAUUAAGUAUUUUGACCUUGGCCUUCCUCAUCGAGAUGCCACUGAUGAUAGAGUUACUAUUGAAAGUGCCGAAGCUACACUAAAGUAUGUGCUCUAGUAUUUUCCACAUUCGCUUGUGUCUUCGGUCUUUAGAUUGUGUAUCAUUUUGUCGUUGCCAUAAGUGUCUCAUUCUUCUUGUUUUUCCUUCAGUUUUUUUUUUCUUUCAUUAUUAUUGUUAUGAUCAAGAGUUGCAAUACAGUUAAAUCUUAAGAGGAAAAUCCACGUCUAUCUUGUUUAUUUCUUAAUCCAAAAUUAGCUUGCAGGAUUCAAUGCAUAGUCAGGCUUACCCUUCACAUGUUUAGAUUUCAGCUAAGAUAUUACUACGUUUAUCUUGAAAUGUUUUUUCUUUUAUUCAAAAUUGCCAUGAAAUUCUGAGAAGAGUAUACAUGUAUAGCUUUUGGGGGCAUGUUUUUCAUGUUAUAUAAAUAUACUCCUGGAACAUAAAUGUUGGAAAUGAUUGUUCUUGGGAAUGUCAUACAUACCCAAGAGUAUAUUUAUAUUAAAAUGAAACAAAUGGCAUCUUAAUGGUUUAAAUGUUGUUUUUCAUUCUGCUGUGCAUCUGUUUUCUAGAAGAGGAUAAGCAAACUAGAAUUGUAAUGCCCUCUGAUUAUAGUUAGUGACAAAAUAAUACAAUUUAAAUGGAGUUGAGGAGUAAAUAUUAAAUAAUAAGUAUGCUCUAUACUGUACAUACAUUGCUGUAGAGUACUGUUAGAAGAUCAAUAUUAGAAAGAAAAAAAGAAUGCAAAAUAAGAUAUAUUUAUAUAUUUGGUUUUGGUUGAAAUAUCAACUACUUAAAUAGACUGAAUUUAUUUUUGUUAUGGCUGUUAUAAUUUUUCAAGUUCUGUUGAGCUGCAAAGGUUUUGGUCCAUGUCUCCCCUUGUCUUUCAUUUGAAUUCUUUCUUCCUUUCUUUUUUAACAAUAAUCUUUGGUAUGCUGCAAAUGAUUAGUGCUAGCUGAGGUGCUAGCCUAGUUGAGAUUUCAAUUAUCAUAUUUAUGCCUCUGCUUACCAUUCUCAGGGAUAAAUAAAAGUUCUGUGGAUUAAAGAAGCUUUCAAUGUUUUUCAUUUCUGUAUUAAUUAUUAAGCUAUAUUUUCUUACGCGAGGCCUCCUAAUAUCACUACGUGGUUUAUUUUCCUUUCAUUGUAGGUAUAAUGUAGCUAUCAAAUGUGCAACUAUUACUCCAGGUAUUCAUAAUUGUUCUAAUCUGGAAAUUGGAAUGAUUUCCAUGUCAUCUUAACUUAAUUUCGAGUACGGUGUACCAUUUUGCCCAUGUGUUAAUUGAAAUUCACAUAUGGGGUUUUCUUUUUCAUAGAUGAAGGCCGUGUCAAGGAAUUUAACCUAAAACAAAUGUGGAAGAGCCCAAAUGGAACAAUCCGGAAUAUUUUAAAUGGUAAAUUAAUCUUCUGAUGCUUUUCGCAAUCCUGUUUUAUGUUCUGAGUUUUCAACUGACAUCGAUGGAAACAAUCACUCUAUAUCCUUACAGGUACAGUUUUUAGAGAGCCAAUUAUCUGUAGAAACAUUCCUCGACUUGUUUCAGGUUCGUAAUUUUUUUAACUUAUUUGAUAUCUUAAUUUUGCUUUAUGAUAGCAAGUGUUAAUUACUGGCUAUUGGUUAGGUUGGACGAAGCCAAUCUGCAUCGGAAGACAUGCUUUUGGCGACCAAUAUCGGGCAACUGACGCAGUUAUAAAAGGCCCAGGAAAGCUAAAAUUGGUGUUCGGUAAAGUCAAAAUCCAAUCAGCUGUUUCUCAUGAUUCAAGUACUUGGCAUAUACAAUCUUGAUGCAGUUGCAAGAUUGCUCAACUAAAGCCGAUAUCAAUUUCUAAAAGACUAAAAAGUUUGAGGUCUAUAAAUUUGAAGUAUCUUACAAAAUUUAGUUGCGUUAUACAGCACCAGAUGGGCAUGAAGAAACUAAAGAGCUAGAGGUGUAUAACUUCACUGGUGCUGGAGGUGUAGCUUUGUCCAUGUAUAAUACUGACGAGGUUUGCAUCUAAUCAAUCCUUUUUAUUAAUAUUUUCUCUUUGAAAAUUAUUUUAACUGAACUUGCAAUAAUAAAUUAUGUGAUAUUUGGUCUUGAAACAGUCCAUUCGAGCUUUUGCUGAAGCUUCGAUGAACAUUGCUCACGAGAAAAGAUGGCCUCUCUAUCUUAGCACUAAAAAUACCAUUCUAAAGAAAUAUGAUGGAAGGUAUGCUUGUCUAUUUUCUGUUCAUUCUUCUUUAUAUUUCACGACUCUUCAAUUCUAAAUGAGAUACAAUGAUAUAUUGUAGUUAUAAGACCCAAGCACAUUUCUAACUCUUUGCUUUUGUGAAGAUUCAAGGAUAUAUUCCAGGAAGUUUAUGACACGCAGUGGAGUCACAAGUUUAAAGCUGCAGGAAUAUGGUUAGAAGAAUUGCUUGUCAUGCUAGUAAAUUUUUUUUUUCAUAAGUAGAUUGGUAAUUCACACUCUUGAUUCUUAGGUAUGAACACCGUCUUAUAGAUGAUAUGGUUGCGUAUGCUCUUAAAAGUGAUGGAGGUUACGUAUGGGCCUGCAAGAAUUAUGAUGGGGAUGUGCAGAGUGAUUUCAUAGCUCAAGGUAGAUAUCUGUAUGCUCUUAUCUCAUUCACUUAUCUGUUUAGUUCUGGUGUUUCUUGUUUUCAUUCCACUGGUAAAAUAAAUAAUAAAGAAGACACUAUGGAUGUUUUUGGAAAUGCAUAUUAAAUAUUUUAAAAAUUCUGGAAAUUUUCAAUAUAUUAUUUUUAGUGUUCUUGAAAAUAAAAAAAUCCAUAAGCAAAUGUCAUUCCAACCACCACAUACAAAGUGGAAUUGAAAAUGUUGUUAGAAUAGGGCCAAGGGUUAGCGUGUCAUAUUUCUUAAUAUGAUCUGAAAAAUAGUUUCCAUUGAACAGGGUUUGGUUCUCUUGGCUUGAUGACAUCAAUACUGGUAUUGCUUUUCUAACCCUUUGCAUCAUUUUGCUUUUUCUUUCAUACGUAUCCUUUAUUUUGUUUAUGUCUGUCCUUUUGUCGGUUACAUCUCUAGCAUGGAUGUUCAAGUAGCUAAAAUUUGCAACAGGUUUGCCCGGAUGGGAAAACCAUUGAAGCAGAGGCAGCCCAUGGCACUGUUACCCGUCAUUUUCGGGUCCAUCAGAAGGGAGGUGAAACCAGUACAAACAGUAUUGCUUCAAUUUUCGCCUGGUCACAAGGUCUUGCACAUAGGUAAGUGAAGAAAGUAAAAGACAAAAUACUUUCAUGUUUUAUUAUUACAGCCCUAAGCUGUUUAUAUAGGAAAAGAAAUUACAAUAGUAAAACUGAGUAAUAAUGACAGAAUAAAAAUAAACAUAAUAAUAUAAAAUAAAAGAGAAUAAAAUCUAAUUUAUCUCGAUUCUUCAACACCCCCCUCAAGUUGGUGCAUAGAUAUCUGUCAUGCCCAACUUGGCUAUAAGUCGCUCAAAAUUGGGUCUUGCCAAACUUUUUGUCAAGAUAUCAACGGUUUGCUGAUUGGAAGUCACAAAUGGCAGACAUAUAACUCCAGCAUCAAUUUUUUCUUUUAUGAAAUGGCGGUCAAUCUCAUUAUGCUUGGUUCUAUCAUGUUGUACAGGGUUGUGAGCUAUACUUAUUGCUGCUUUGCUAUCACAGAACAAUUUUAAGGGUGAGUCAACUUUCAUUUUCAGUUCGUCUAAGAGUUUACGAAUCCAUAAAAGUUCACAGAUUCCUUGAGCCAUUGCUCUGAAUUCAGCUUCUGCACUGCUUCGAGCAACAACCCCUUGUUUCUUACUUCUCCAAGUAACUAAAUUUCUCCCAACAUAGGCACAAUAUCCAGUGGUGGAUUUUCUAUCAGUAAUUGAUCCUGCCCAAUCAGCAUCUGUAAAUAUAGAGACUUCUCUGUCAUUAGUUUUCUUGAAGCACAAACCCUUUCCAGGAUUGGAUUUCAAGUACCUUAAGAUUCGAUAAACUGCCUCCAAGUGUUCUUCAUAGGGAGAAUGCAUGAAUUGACUUACAACACUCACAGAGAAAGCGAUGUCAGGUCUAGUGUGGGCUAGAUAAAUAAGUUUGCCGACUAACCUCUGGUAUCUUCCAAUCUCAACAGGAACACUGCCUUUCUCCCAAAGUUUAGCAUUUAAUUCCAUAGGAGUAUCUGCUGGUCUACACCCAUUCAUCCCAGUUUCUUCCAAGAGAUCUAGGAUGUAUUUUCUUUGAGAAACAACAAUUCCCUUCUUUGAGCGAGCAACUUCCAUACCAAGAAAAUAUUUAAGCGCGCCUAAAUCUUUGAUCUCAAGAAGAUGCCUAUUCUUUCUCUCUGCAAUUCCAUUUCGUUGGGGUGUAUUAACACAAGAACUUUGAUGAACAACCCCAUUUGCAAGAAAAAAAUCGGACAAAAGUAUAUUAAAAUAUUCUUUACCAUUGUCACUUCUGAAGACUUGAAUAUUUGUUUGGUAUUGAGUGCGCACCAUUUUAAAGAAAUUUUUGACAACUUGUCCAACUUCCGAUUUUUCUUUCAAUAAAUAAACCCAACAAAUUCUAGUAUGAUCAUCAAUAAAAGUUAUAAACCAUUUUUUAUUAGAAAAUGUGUUUAUUCUAUUAGGACCCCAAACAUCACUAUGAAUAACUGCAAACGGUUUUGAUUGUUUAUAUGGUUGUGUAGAAAAAGAAGAACGGUGAUGUUUAGCAAAUUCACAAGUUUCACAAUGAAAUAAAGAUGGAUCCUUCUUAGAAAAUAAUUUAGGAAACAAAUGUUUCAAAUACGGAAAACUAGGAUGUCCUAACCGUAAAUGCCAUAACAUAAUAUCAUUAUUAUUAGAAGAAACAAAAAUAGAUUCAAAGCAGGUACUUGUUUUUUGUUGGUCUUUGAAGUCGAGUCCAUUGUCAAGAUAAUAGAGUCCUCCAUUCUCCGUAGCAUUGCCAAUCAUCUUCCCCGUGCUCAAAUCCUUAAAAGUGCAAUGAGAAUGAAGGAAGUUAGCUUGACAAUUUAUAUCCUUUGUUAAUUUAGUAAUGGAUAAUAGAUUACAUGAUAAAUUAGGAACAUGUAAGACAUCUUUUAAGGUUAACUUAGGUGACAGAAUAACAGAACCUUUCUCUGCAAUGGCUGAAAGAGAGCCAUCUGCAAUUUUAAUUGUGGUUACCUGCACAAGGGCUAUAAGUAGAAAAUAGACUCGACUCCCCAGUCAUAUGAUCAGUAGCACCAGAAUCAAUAAUCCAAGUAUGGCUGGGAGUGACACUAAGUAGAGCAGUAUUUGGAAAAUUACCUCUCUGAGCUAUAGAGCAAGAAGAAGUUUGAGACUCAAAAAGUUUGUACAAUUGAUCUAACUGUUCCUUGGUGAAAGGAGAUGGGCUUGAAGGAGACUGCUUCUCUUGAUCAGAUGUACCAGCUUGGAGCGCAUGACCUUCCUUUCUUUCUUUUUUCUUCCAAUUUAGAGGUUUUCCAUGGAGCUUCCAACAUGUAUCACGUGUGUGCCAUAGACGUUUGCAAGGUUCGCACCAUGGUUUCUUGCCAGCGCUCUUCCCGUCUUCAUUUUUUUGUGACUAGGGCAAAGCUUUCAACCUCACCAACAGAAGGCGACUUACCCAUCAUAACACCUUGUCUUGCCUCUUCUCUUCUAACUUCUGAGAAUGCUUCCCGAAGUGAUGGCAAUGGGAUCUUUCCCAAUAUUCUGCCUCGAACUUCAUCAAGCCGCUUAUUAAGCCCAACCAAGAACAUGAAUACACGGUCCUCACAACACAUUCAAUGAUCAUCAUAGCAGAGAUCCAAUUCUUGCCAUAGUGUCAUCAACUCAUUGUAAUAGGUAGUGACAUCUCUAUCUCCUUGUCUGGUAUGCUACAAUCGUGAUUUGAGAUCGAAAAUUUGAGAAGAAUUCUGAAUAUCAGAAUAUGUUUCUUUGACAGCCUCCCAAACUUCCUUGGCAGUAGGCAAAAACAUAAAAGGUUUUUUUGAUUGUUGAUUCCAUAUUACUAAGCAACCAAGCAAUAAUAACAGAGUUCUCAGAUUUCCAAAACCUGUAUUUUGGAUCAGUUGUGGCAGACAUUUGCACCUCUCCUGUUAGGAAACCAUAUAUUCCCUUACCGUCUAAAAUCAAUCUUGCGGUUUGGGACCAUUCGACAUAAUUUUUUCCAUUUAGUUUCUGGAUUUCAACCUUGAGGACAUUAGAAGUUCCCUCAUGGCCAAAAAAGUUGGAAGAACCAUUCUGGCUGCUUAGGCCGCUGCGACUGCCACUUAUGGUGCUGUCUAAAUUGUCAGGGUUGUUGACUAUGUCUGAUUUUUUUGCCAAACCAUCGUCGUUGUCGCCGCUACCCAUAAGGGCUACCUUCCAUGGGGUAUUGUGUGCCAUUAGCUUUAGUUCAGUUGGUUAGAGCGCCAAACCCUAAUGGUUGUGGUAGCUCAGUUGGUUAGAGCGCCAAACCCUAAUGGUUGUGGAAAGGUUUACAGAACCCUAACCAGAGCUCUGAUACCAUGAAGAAAGUAAAAGACAAAAUGCUUUCAUGUUUUAUUAUUACAUCCCUAAGCUGUUUAUAUAGGAAAAGAAAUUACAAUAGUAAAACUGAGUAAUAAUGACAGAAUAAAAAUAAACAUAAUAAUAUAAAAUAAAAGAGAAUAAAAUCUAAUUUAUCUCGAUUCUUCAACAGUAAGCAUUGAAAUUAAAACUCAUACAAAUUUUUUUCCUCAUACUGCAAUCCAUAGAAUUCGAUUUUUUUUUUCCAUUGUAGUUUUAGCUAAUAAUAAUACAUAUGGUCGGUUGAGUAGUUUAAGUGGCUGAUUAUUUGUGUUUUUUUUUUUAAGAAAGAAGUGUAUUUUUUAUUAAGUUUUUUUUUUACUAUUUUAGAUAAAUAUUUUUGAUGAAAAGAAAAAAGCUUAUAAGAUAUUUUGUUGUUCUUCACUUCCCAAAAUAUAAUGGAAGUAGCUUCAUGAAAAUAGCUAUAAAUGAAGGACCCAUUUGUUUGGGCUUUUAAGAAAAAAAUUAACAGAAAGGUCUAAUUUUAUAUCAGAAUUAGAAAGUUUUUUUGAAAAAAGCAAAUGCGUAAAAGAUUUUCCUCAUAAGUUAUAGUUUGUUUUGUGUGUAUAAACUUUGCAAAAAAGUUCCGAUAUCAUUUUCUUUAAAACUUUCCUAUAAUAAGGCAUUUCUUAUAGGAUAGAUAUGCUUGGUUUGAGAAUUUUUUGCUAAUAAAAAGCGUCACUUUUAUAUUAUAUUUUGUUUUUGGUAAUAAAAAGUGUUACUAUACUUCUUGGAGAGACAAGAGUGGAAAUAAAUAGGAGGUUAGAGACUUGAUAACAAGCUUUAGAAGUUUAUGAUUUUCAUUUGAGUAUAAGUAACAGAGUUAUAUAUAGAAUGUAAAUUUUGGAAAAGACAAAGCACACAUAGUUUAGAGGUGAUAGUUGGAAACCCUAACAUACAACAAGUCACAAUUAAAUAUCUUUGGCCCAAGUAGGGUGGAUGAAAUUGAGGAGAGUCUUAGGUGUUUUAAGUGAUAAAAUAGUGCCACUGAAGAUAAAGGGAAAGUUUUAUCCCACAUUUGUAAAACCAACGACGUUACAUGAUACAAAAUGUUGGGGUGGUAAAAUGCCAACAUGAGAGUAAACUCGGUGUAUAGAGAUGAGAAUGCUAUGAUUGAUGUAUGCUAAUACUAGAUGAGAUAAGAUUAGGAGUGAUAGCAUCGGAGAGAAAGAAAGUUAGGGUGACACAUUGUAGAAAAAAUGAAGGAAUAUUGACUUAGGUGGUUUGAGAAUGUGUAAAGGAGACUGUAGAUUCUGUAGUAAGAAGAGUAGAUCAAACAGAGGGUAGCCCAAUUGUUCAAAGUAGAGGAAGACUAGGAAAAACUAUACGAGAAACUGUUGAGAAAGACCUAGAAGUCAAAGAUUUUGAUGAAGAUAUGAUAUAGCAUUAUAUCGUCCUUUGAUCCAUGUAGUCAACUCUACUUAGUGGGAUAAGAUCAAGUUUGGUGGUGGUGGUUCUAUAUUUAUGCAUAAAACAAACUAAAAGCAGAGUUGUACUUUUUGUAAAUAUUAAUGAAAACAAAGAUGUAGACAAUAUGAUAAAAAUAAAAGUGUGUUUUAUUUUAAAGCUUUUUAAAACACCCUAUUUUUUGCAGGGCAAAGUUGGAUGGAAAUGCUAGACUGUUGGACUUCACGGAGAAACUAGAAGCAUCUUGCAUUGGAACAGUAGAAUUGGGAAAAAUGACAAAGGAUCUUGCACUUCUUAUUCACGGACCCAAGUAACUUUUGGCCCUAGGAUAGUUCUUUAAGAAUGCUAACUAUUCCUUUUGCUAUUUAUGUAUAACAAAUUAAAACUACUUGCUCUUUUGUUUUGUUGUAGGGUUUCUAGGUCUCAUUAUUUAAAUACUGAAGAGUUCAUUGAUGCUGUUGCCGAGGAGCUGAGAACAAGAUUAACUACAAAAGCAAAGCUGUAAAGUUCACCAGUUUCUUUGAGUCUACUUAAUGAUAUUAGAUUGGACUAUUACUUGGGUUAUAAGCAUUUAUUGUGCUGAGUUUUGAAUUUGGAGUAUGUUCGUUUGAAUAAAAAAUGGAAGUUGAGUGGAGAGAAUUUAGGCAGAAUAAAGCCAACUAGUCAAGGGACUUCCUAGGGGCCCAACUCUACCCAACUCUGCAUUUCUAAAUACCAGACGACUCCAAAAAUAUACUUUUGGAUGAAAAAAUAACUAACUGUUUUUGUCCCGUUGUAUACUCUUGGAUGACAUAAAAACUAAAUUUUUUUGAAUGUGUUUUUCUGAAGUGACUUUAGGGGGUGGGGAAAGUUGGGGCCCUUCCUAAAUUGGACUGUUGCACCCGCUACAGAUAGGAAAGAUUGGUAUUCACAAAAAGUUCAUUGGCUUGGUAGAACAUCAACUGAUUUUGAAUUUUCCAAGCCAUAAAAGGGACUAUUAGUGUAACAUCCUCCUCAAGUUGAGAAGCUACAUAUUCUCUAUCUUAUAUUCUCUUGUCAUAGAUAUUGUCAUAUUGAAAUAUUUUUGGUGAAAAUGAUUACAGAAGCAAAGCAUAAUAUGAAUUUUUGUCCUUUUCUGUAGAAUAUGAAAAUUGGUAGUAGAAUAUGAAAAUUGGUAUAUUUCCGAAGUUGUAUUAGUAGAGAUCUAGAGGAAGAACAUAAACAAGGAAUAAAAUAGGGGGAAAAUUUAGGGUAUCAUUCUUACCUUUUCAUCUUGUGCUUUCAUAGAGGGUUUGAGUCUAGGAUUUUUUAUUAAGGGUAUUACGAAAUUUUAAGGAAUUUUUCUCAUUGAAUAGUUUUAUUGAUGUGUUUUCUUAAGCUGAAGGCGGAACCUUGUGUGUUUAUACCUGUUAGUGACAUGCAUGUUCUUGUUGUGGAAUAAUGUUUAUACCUGUUAGUUACAUGCAUGUUCUUCUUGUGGUUAAGGAAAGUGUGCUCUUGAAUGUGAAUAUUUUGGAUUAGUGGCAAUUCUCGUCUUAUGAUGGGAAAUCGAGUAAUUUUUGGAGUACAUUUUAUACCUAUAAUCAAUUUCAUAAAUAUUGAAUAGUUGGAGUGAAUUAAAGAAUUAAUAAAGAAAAAGUAUUAAAUUCUUCCACAACAUGAUAGGAUAAAAAAGUCAUUAUUCUUGUCUCAGAUAAAAUUAUAAUGCUGAAACAAUAAUAGGUAAUGAUAAUAUUUUUUGCAUGGUCAAAUUCAAAAAAUAUUAUUAUUUGACAUUUGAAACGUGAUUCGUGUGGAUGAUAGGAUGGGUUAAUCUAGGUCUAGGAAGUCUCUUUGGAGAUGAACUUUUCCUUCACAAAAUAUAUAUAUGAAAUUCCAAAAGCUUCUUUCAAACAUGGAGCAUUGGAUUUUGAGACCGAAUGGCAGUACUCAGAUUGUCUCGUAGGAGAGUAGUGACACUCUAAGAGACUACUAGUUUUGUGAGCAAGGACUGUAUCCGUAUUACUCCAGCUUUGGUACUGGUCAUGCUGCAAUACUCCAGCCUUUGUGCUGGAACGAGCAACCAACGAUUAAUUCUUGGUGCACCAUUAAAUCAAAUUAGGCCAAGGAAGAUGCACAAGUCUGAAGUUGAUCUCUUGUCAUCAGGGUUUGACGGUUUGUGUCACAAUAGGCACUUGUGGAGAAUGGAGAGUUAGGUUGUCCUAGUUGAAAGAAUAAUCCAUGCUUAAUUGAUCCUUUAUGGUAGAUAAAGCCACAUUGGAUUUGAUGAGAUAUGACAUAAGAUGGAUAUGAGUCAAUUUAAGAUAUAUUGGACUACUUGAUAUAAUCCACCCGAGUUACGUUUCAGAUGUCAAGUGAUGAACAUGACAGAAGUGAGUUGAGAGUGCCAAAUUACAUGAAAUAUGUCAACAUAAGCAAGUGUUUAUAUUCGAAAGACACCACUCACCUUGCAAUUAGAUUUAGUGGAAUUGAGUUUCAUCCAACCAAAAUUUUAAAACCUAUUUUUUCACAACUUCUUCUCUUAGGAGCUAUCACGAGUCUGCACUUUGUUCCAAGCCUCUAAAAUUCUGGUAACAUUAUUUUUCUACUUUCUAGUAUAACAAAGUCAAACAUGGUGUUAUUGAUAAUAUGGUUGGGGUGUCAUGGCUAUUCUAUGUGAAAUUCAAUAUAGUCCCUUCAAGAAUCCACAACUAGGUUCUUAGAUUUGAAAAAUCAAAACACAUCACAUUAAUUUCUUUGUCAGAGACUAUUUUUAGUGUUUAAAAUUUUGUUACAGACUAAUAUCUCCUGAGUGGGUAAUUUUGAGAUACUAUUUUUGAAUUUUUUUAUAAGGAUUAAAUUAACAUUUAAUAUUUUUUUCUUAAGAACUAAAAUGAGUAUUCUGUCUUUUUGAAAGUCAAAUUUAAAAAUUAAUUUAUAAUUAAUUUUGUCUCUUUUUUGUACUACCUCUUUUUGUUAAUGUCCUACCGAGAACCAAAUCUAAUUCCGGUAAAAUUAGAGACUAAAAUUGGCUGGCAAAAUAACCGGAAAUAAUAUGAAAAAACCGGUGAAUAAAUGCUAAAACUGGUUGGAAAACUGCGAAAGUGUGAUUUUUGUUGUCAACUUUUCUAUUUUAAUACUAUAUUGCUAUUCAGUUUUUAUUUUUUAUUUUUUAUUUUAUUUUCGUUUGGGUGAGUAACAAUCAUGUCAAUUUUGAUUAAUUUGUUUAAAGACUAUAGUUCUACUUUUUCCAUAUCAACUUUUUAUUUUUCAAUUUUUUUUUAUCAUUGCAUCAAUGGAUUUAAACCAUAACUAGAUUAUGGUCCGCGCGCUGCACGGAUAUUAAUUAAUUAAUUUUAUAAAUAAUAUUUGAUGUAUUAUAAAUAUAGUUAUCUUAUAAUAUUACUUUAUUGAUUUGUAAUAAUUGAAUAUGAUUAAGAAAAUUAAAAUGAGGGAAAAUCAUGUUUAUCACACUCAUCUAAUUUAAUUUUUAAAAUAUUUUGUAAAAUUCGUAUGAUAACUUAUUAUAUAGAAUAAUUAUUUGACUCAUUGUACUUUGAUUGUUAAUUUAUUUUUCAACAUAUAAUGGUAUUUGUAUUUAUUUGACGAAAUAAAAUAUAGAAUACAAACCCAAAAAUAAGAUGUAAAAAUUUAUAAAUAUGAUUUACUAUUUAAUAUUUUUUAUUUUAAAAAAAAUGUUAAUGUUGAAUUAUAUUGUAGCGUAGUCUAAAUUUAUUUGUUUUAUUAUUAUAUUAUUUUAGUUGCGAGCAUGAGAAGUUGUUGUAAAAAAAAAUUAUUGAAUAUAUUUCAUCAANNNNNNNNNNNNNNNNNNNNNNNNNNNNNNNNNNNNNNNNNNNNNNNNNNNNNNNNNNNNNNNNNNNNNNNNNNNNNNNNNNNNNNNNNNNUUUUUAAUAAAUUUAUGUAUUUUCUGUCAAAAAGAAUAUAUAUUUUUAUUUUAUAAAGUGUUACUAAAAAAUGGAUUGACAUUAAUGAGUAAUUUAAUUUUUAACGUAUAAAAUCAUUACUCACCAUAAGUGAAAUAAUAUAAUUGUUCAUAAAGGAAGAUUAAAUAAAGAACAUUUAUAUCGAUAUUUAUGAGUGAUUAGGUGGUUUUUUAUUUAUUUAAUUUAAUGACUAAUAAUAUAAAUUAUUACCAUUGGUAAAUGACUAAUAAUACUAUAAAAUAAUAUUAUAAAAUAGUUUAUAAAUUUAUUAUAAAAUAACUUAUAAAAUAAUUUGAUAAUAAUAUAAAUUAUAAAUUAAAUUAUUAUCAAAUUGUCAAAUAAUUUAUAAAUUAUAAAUUUAUUAUAAAUAAUUGUAAAAUAAUUUUAUAAGUAAUAUUUUAUGUAUUAUAAAUAUAGUUAACUUAUAAUAUUACUUUAUUAAUUUGUAAUAAUUGAAUAUGAUUAGAAAAAUUAAAAUGAGGGAAAAUCAUGUUUAUCACAUUCAUCUAAUUUAAUUUUUAAAAUAUUUUGUAAAAUUCGUAUGAUAACGUAUUAUAUAGGAUAGUUGUUUGACUCAUUGUACUUUGAUUAACAAUUUGUUUUUCUAACAUAUAAUGGUACUUGUAUUUAUUUGAUGAAAUAAAAUGUAAAAUACAUACCAAAAAAUAAGAUAUAAAAAUUUAAAAAUAUGAUUGACUAUUUAAUAUUUUUUAUUUUAAAAAAAUGUUAAUGUACUAAUAAUAUAAAUUAUUACCAUUGGUAAAUGACUAAUAAUAUUAUAAAAUAAUUUAUAAAUUUAUUAUAAAAUAACUUAUAAAAUAAUUUGAUAAUAAUAUAAAUUAUAAAUUAUUAUCAAAUUGUAAAAUAAUUUAUAAAUUAUAAAUUUAUUAUAAAUAAUUUUAAAAUAAUUUUAUAAUUUAUAAAUUUAUUAUAAAUUAUUACCAUUGGUAAAUGACUAAUAAUAUUAUAAAAUAAUUUAUAAAUUUAUUAUAAAAUAACUUAUAAAAUAAUUUGAUAAUAAUAUAAAUUAUAAAUUAUUAUCAAAUUGUAAAAUAAUUUAUAAAUUAUAAAUUUAUUAUAAAUAAUUGUAAAAUAAUUUUAUAAUUUAUAAAUUUAUUAUAAAUUAUUACCAUUGGUAAAUGACUAAUAAUAUUAUAAAAUAAUUUAUAAAUUUAUUAUAAAAUAACUUAUAAAAUAAUUUGAUAAUAAUAUAAAUUAUAAAUUAUUAUCAAAUUGUAAAGUAAUUUAUAAAUUAUAAAUUUAUUAUAAAUAAUUGUAAAAUAAUUUUAUAAUUUAUAAAUUUAUUAUAAAUUAUUACCAUUGGUAAAUGACUAAUAAUAUUAUAAAAUAAUUUAUAAAUUUAUUAUAAAAUAACUUAUAAAAUAAUUUGAUAAUAAUAUAAAUUAUAAAUUAUUAUCAAAUUGUAAAGUAAUUUAUAAAUUAUAAAUUUAUUAUAAAUAAUUGUAAAAUAAUUUUAUAAUUUAUAAAUUUAUUAUAAAUUAUUACCAUUGGUAAAUGACUAAUAAUAUUAUAAAAUAAUUUAUAAAUUUAUUAUAAAAUAACAUAUAAAAUAAUUUGAUAAUAAUAUAAAUUAUAAAUUAUUAUCAAAUUGUAAAAUAAUUUAUAAAUUAUAAAUUUAUUAUAAAUAAUUGUAAAAUAAUUUUAUAAUUUAUAAAUUUAUGAAAUAAUAUUAUUAUUGAGAGGAGGAUUGAAGGAGAUUAGACAUUGAGAACAUGAUUGAGAGGGGAGAAAGGAGAAGAGGUCCACAUCAGCUAAAAGCUGAUGUGAGAAAUAUUUGUAUAGGUGGAUGAAAUAAAAUGAAGUGGGUGAGGUGACAUUCGGGGUCUGUUUUAAAUAUAUAUAAUAGAUAAGUAUAUCUAUAACAUUUAACAAAAAAGAGAGACAAAAUCAAACAUUAAAUAUUGCAACAAGAAAAUAUUAAUAUUUCACUCAUAAAGAUGUAUUAUAUUUAAAUAAAAAUGUAUAUUUACACUAUUUAAAAAUAUUAAAAUUACAUAUUUGAGUAUAAAAUUUAUGUUAAAUACUACCGGUCGCACCAUGGUUCAACUCCGGUCGAAUUUUUAAACCUUGAAUCUCUUCAUAUAUUAGUCAAUGUCCGAAUCAAUUUUGAUUACCUUGGUCCUAUUUGAGUACUAUGCCCAUUUGACAUGUUGCAGUGUGGUCUUUAUGGUUUGAUAAGGAAUGAGAUUGUUUUCAAGAAUAGAAAGUUAAUAUUGAGUACUAUGCCCAUUACCAAUAUUGUUUAUUAAAUAUUAGGGAAGAAAAAAUUAUUAUUAAUAAUGGUAAUAUUAAUGAUCAAUCUUACAACUGUCUCAUAUGAGAUUUGAAUUUUGACAUUUGAAAUUACAAUUACUAUGGGAAACUCUUACACUGAGGUGACACCUAAAGGACAAAUGAGAUUGUUGUACUGAUUUUCUUCAUAUGCCACAUGAUCUUCAUUAACUUUUUCAUCCUUGUGUAAUAGCUCAUUUCUCUGUAUUUCUGUUGGUUGAUUAAAAUUUGAAUUUUUUCUUGUGAAAGAGUAAAGAGUAUUGCUUAUACUCAUAAAAUAACAUUCAUUUUGUGUGUCAAAAGUAUAUAACAAAUAUUCAGAAAAAAAAAAAGAUACUGCUUAGAACAAUAUUAAAGACACUGAAAACAUACUUUAGAAGGAAAAUAAUUUUUUGAAUGAAUUUACAUGUAUGUGUUAACAAUGAUCAUUAGUUCUCUGAUAUGCCUUCAAGGAGGAAGUGACACUUUUGUACAAUAAAUUUUGCUAAAACAAGUAUAUGCAUUUUUCUGCUAAAAAUACUCAAAAUCUACAUAAGAAUCAGUAGCAUUUUUGCUUUUUGUAUCACUAGCAGCAACAUCUGCUAUCUUCUUAUCAACUGGUGGUGGUGCUGUCUCUUUUUUAGCAUACUUUGAAAAGUCUAUGACAUCUGGUAUAUGUGGUGGUGAUGCACUUCUAACUAGAGCCCAAUUCACUCCUUCAAAAAAUGGAUGUUGUUUUAUUUCGGUUGCACCUCUUUUAUAAGCAAUUCUCUUCUGAGGUUCUUUCACAAGCAAUCCUCUAAUAAGAUCGCGCGCCACGGUACUAAUUUGAGGACUAUCUGGAAACCUCAGUGGCUGUCCAACAACAUUGAAAAGUGUUGCUUUGUAUCCUGCACCUUUAAAAGGUGUUGCUCCAUGUAACAAUUCAUACAAGAAGAUUCCAAAAGUCCACCAAUCUACUGCACUACCAUGUCCUUCUCCUUUGACUAUUUCAGGAGCUAGAUACUCAUGUGUUCCUACAAAUGACAUUGAUCUCACAUUUGUUGGUUCUGCCAUUAGUUCUGGAAGGCGGUUUCCGUUAACCAAUAGGCCAAAGUCUGAUUUUGCCUUUCGAUUCUUCUUCGAAGGCAAAAUGCGAGGGAAAAAGCUUGAUGAUGUCUGAGCAGUUCCAACUGCUUGGUCAUCAUUAAACACACCUCCAGAAUCACUACCGUUUCCGCUGUUUCCUACAUUUGUAGAGGAUGACUUGACAAGUGUAGGACUGACGGAGCAGCGAAGCGAUAAAUCGAAAUCCGAGAGCAUGAUAUGUCCUUCGUCCCUAACUAAAAGAUUCUCUGGCUUUAAGUCUCUGUAUACAAUGCCAAGCAUGUGCAGGUACUCAAGAGCUAACAAAACCUCUGAAGCAUAGAACCUAUCACAACAGAUUUGAAUGUAAGAUUCUUGAUCUACAAACUGUGUUCAUAAAGGUUAAAUCAAAUGGCUAACAGAAGUCAUGCCAGUGGUGAAAGUUAAAAACAAAACAAAACAAAACAAAUCAUUUGUAAAUGGAAAAAGUUCGAAUGUAUUCGAAUCAAUCAACUUAGUCUUUGAAAUUGUCAAGUAAGACAAUUUAGUUCUUGAAAUUGAUAUAACUCUAAAUUGAUCCAUGAAAAUGAAAUAUUCAAUCAUAUUAGUUUACUUGAGAUCACAUUUUUUGGAUAAACCAAGGUAUUAUCUACAUGGAACUACAUAGACUAAUCCCUCAAGGUAGCUAAAUCUAUUUAAGAGAUUGACUUCUCCCAACAUGUGUUUUUCUAUAUGCAUCGGUUAUGUAUCGAACACCAAGCCAUCUAGUUAAGGGACUCAAAAGAACUAAAUUGACCGACUCAAAAACUAAUGCAAUUGAGGAUAUUCAAUUUUAUAGAUAAUUUUGCAAAUUCGUUAAUAUUUUGGACCAGGUUGCGUAAAGCCUAAUUUUAAGUACUAAAUUGACUAUUCACUUAUAUGAAGUUAAUCACAGGUUGUUAAAAUCAAUUCAGUCAUGCAAUAUGAGGACAAACUUAAUAGAUCAUCAUCAACUUAUAUGAAGUUACAGUGACUUCUAAAUGUCUUGUGAAGUAUAUGCAGAAAAAUGGAAGAACAGAAGAGAAAAUGCAACAAACAGAUUCAACUAACCUUGCAGCUUCUUCAGUGAAACACUUAUUCGGCUGUUUCUGUCGAAGCGAAUGAAGAUCGCCACCACUACAGUACUCCAUUACAAGACAGUAAAACUUAUCAGUUUCAAAGUAAGAAUACAAAGUAGGCAAAAAAGGGUGAUCAAGAAGUCCAAGAAUCUCCCUUUCUGUCUGUGAUCUAAGAAGCUUGUUUCUACUUAUAAGAGCAGCCUUAUCCAUUACUUUCAUAGCAAAAUGAGCAUCAGUUCCUUUAAGUUCCACAAGGUACACACUUCCAAUGUCUCCGUAACCGAUACGCUUAAGAAGCCUAAAAUGGCUUAGAUUAAGAGGACCAGCUUUGGAAACCAUGUUAAUUGCAUCCCACCUUACAUCACCACCAGUAUGUGGCCUAAUGUGUGAACAACUUGUGCUCUCUAAACUGUCGCUGCGUGAGCUUGUUCCGCUUCCUGUGCCGUGAUUGUUCGCCUUUGUAUGAGUAGGCAUACCCUUUGAAACUCCUGUUGGUAAUCCUGGUGAUGGAGUUGCAGGUUCAGAAUUUGAAGGCAUCCUUGUUCUUGGACUUUGUCUUGAAGUAUUGUAAUCAGAAAUGUUUUUGUUUGGUGGAUUUAGUUUCUGUGGUUUAUUUUUUUUUGCAAAUUUUUCUUCACUUGCUGAAUCUUCCAAUGUGCAUGCAUAUUUUUCUUCUGGAUUCACAUUUUUUGGAUGAGUUGGUGAAUUGUUUCCUGAAUUUGGAUAACUGUGAACAUUAUGAUGUCUCUCAAGAGGUUCUUCUGUUAUUUUGUGAUUCAUCUGCAUUUAUGAUGAAACAAAAGUUUUGAUCAAAUUUUCACAAUCAUGACAUUUGCACCAGGACCAGGACGAGUCCAAGUACCAGAGUUCAAACUGCGGUGAAAGAGAAAAUAGUAACAUAACAUUUUGCUGAUAAAAAAAUGAAUAAUUUGAAGAAACUCAUUCCAAAAGAAUUAUUUAUUAUCAUUUUUUUUUCCUUAAGAAAACAUGAAUUUAUUGUGUUUGAUUAUGAUAAGCAAUUAUGCAUGUGUAGAGUGACUAACAAUGAUGAAACUCUUACCUCUGGUAAAUCAGGCAUUUUGACAGGCUUUGACACAAUGAAUGUGCAACACAAUGACACUCCUUAAGACAAUUUCUGGAAGAAAAAAAAAAAUUGGUUAUGAUGAAGAGAUGAAUUGUUUGUGCAAAACAACAUGAGAAUGAUGAUUUCAUGAUUUUAGCAUGAUUCAAAAAGAAUCAUAUAUAUUUAUUAUAAGAAGCUAAAAUUACUAACAUCUUGCUUUGUGUCUCUUAAUGUGAAACAACAAUUGUAUCAAUAAACUUAUACAAAAUGUAAUUUAAUUUCUUCUUGUGAAAAAAUAUGUACAAAUUAAUAGAGAAAAUUAGGCCUUAUUGUUGAACAUGCAUGAUGCCAUGAUAUAAAAGUCAAGAGCAUAAAGAACCAAAAACUAAAUUCAUGGUUUCCACGUUAUGGAAUCUAAUGUAGACAAAGUCAGAAUUCAAGUAUGGUUAUUACAAAUCAAAUUUUUUUAAGCAAAUAUUUUGACAUGUAAAAGUAUAGAGAAAAAAUAUUAAUUAUGUUGUCACCUUAGGCUCUACCAAUCAUUUGCAACACAAAGAAAUUUAUUAAUAAAAACAAAAAUAAAGAAAACAAAAACAUGGAGAGAUACACCAAAUCAUUAUUGGUAUAUAUAAAAAUGAUAUGUUAACAAUUUAUAUAUUAGAUAUAUGUUGAAGAUUGAUGUGACAAGAAAAUGUAUACAGCAAACAAACCUGAAAGUUAGAAAUUGCAUUAAUUAAUCCUGAUAACUCUUGAGGCUAUGUAAUGUAAGAGCUAAUAACAAUAAUGCUUGAGGUGCAUGGUGAAUGAAUAUAACAAAUUAAAUUUCUUUUCAAGUAAAAAAAAGAGAGAGAAAUUAUGUAUAGGAUGAAAAAGAAAAAAAGGGUUGUUUGAAUUAGGAAAGAAAUGACAUGUGGAUAUUGAAAAUGAGCUGGUUGUUAAUUGGAACACAACCUAUCAACAAAAAAACACUGGAGAGAUGAUGAUAUCUUGUGUGAGAGGAAAUUGUGGAACAAGAGGUAGAAGAUAGCCCCAUAACCACAAUUAGGAAAAUCAAAAUAUUUAUAUAUAGAAAAUUGUAAAUAAAAACUAUAUGAAAAUUAAUUUGUUUUUAUUAAGUAUAGAGUGAUUUACAGAUUAGCAUGAUGGAUAAUUUUGAGAGUGAGAGAGAGAGAGAGAAAAGAGGAAAUGGUCACAGAUAUGAAAAAAGAAUGGAUAGGCGUCAUAUUCUCUUUGAAAUGGAAAUGGAGGUUUAAUUGUCUCCCUCUCAUAUCUGCCUACUCCUAAUGUGUCCUUAAAUUGACAACAUCAUGUUAUGUUGUCACCACCAUAGCUUAGACCUAUAUCAUGUAUACAAGUCAUUAUUUUUUAUGUAUUUUUUGUUUGCAUUAUAAGUUUAAUUUAUAUGUACUUAGAAGUCUAAUGAUAAAAUUUUAUUAAUUUAAUAUAUAAAUAUAAGUUAUGAUGAUAUUUUAAAAAAAUUUAGCUCCGUCAAAAUUGAUGUCAUUUAAUAAAACAAUAUAAUUUUUUAAUAGAAGACAUUAACUU